AACACUAUCACUUUCUGUUUAGUAGUACACUCUAGUAAUUUGGUUUUUAAUUAUUCGUAUAUUUCUUAUCUUUAUUGCUUCAGCACUACGCACAUGGCUACGUCACUCUCACGUGACGUCCAGCAUGCCUUGAUCUCGGUCGGGGUGUGUCAGUGAAUGUUCAUGCUAUCAGGGUUGCAAAAAUAUCAAGAUAAAAACCUUUGUUUUGGAAGAACCUGAUUACGUGAUGAUAUAGAUGAACUGGUUUGUUGCAAAAAAAGCUUCAUUGUUAGAUUCUUAAGUGCAGCAGUAAGAGCGUGUUGUAGCUUAUUUUAUCUCACUACAGGGUAUGGGCAAUGGCAGGGAGAGACGUGUUUGUAGAAUCAUAGGGGAAUGUGUGUUGAGAAUGUGUUAUCUCCCUACGCAGUGCUUUUAUUUAUAGUAAUAAGAGGAAGAAUAAUUCCUUCAUCCCUAAGUAAUACAAAUCCAUAUAGGAAAGAAUAACUAAAAUAAAAUCUAAUCUAGGAUUUACACAAUCACACUUAAAUUAGGAAAGUUUAUAACACCAUCUAAAUUCUAAUAAUUAAUUAUACUUUUUUUUUAAACUAAUUAAAAGGGUUUGAAAAUUUUGAGUUUUAACGAUAUAAAGUGAAUAGUACCAAGAUUAAUUUUUUAGUGUAAAAAUGUGGUUUUUCGUUAAAGUGAACAGUACUAGAAACUUUUCUUUAAAGUUCCUUUUUUUUUUUUUUUUGAUUUUUUUGAUUGGAAAAAUAAAAAAAAUAAAAAAGGUGGAGGAGGGUGCAUCAUGCAGUGGCACGUGACUUCACACGAACGUCUUCCAGGAACUCAGGAAUUAAGCAUACAGACAAUCGCCGAAAGGUCUUCAAUUUGGGGUCACAUGAGUUAACUACGUCCGUCCGAUCAACAUACUUUUCUUGUUCCAACAAUCCAGCCGUAAAUAAUUAAACGCCACCAUAGCAUCGUACACCUGAAGCAACACCGUAAUAUAUCUCCUCUUGGCGAGCCGGAAGAGCAAGUGUCUUUGUUCUUCGCUGGAAAUAUUUUUCUAUUCAUUUUCUUUUCCGAAUUCCGAUUAUCCAAACGGGAGCGAGGAAGAAGAAUCCGUCGGACAAAAUCUCACUGACCGGAGCAUCCAAUCCAAAUGGCGGUUUCCGUGACGGCGUCCACGAUUCCUUCUCUCAGCUCUGACCGUACGACUCGCUUAGCUGCGGCGGCGGCCUCAUCCUCCUCCUCUUCUUCUUGUUCAAAGCUGUCUUCCUCUACUUCUCUGCGAUUUCCGGCGCAGCUUCGACGUGUUCGGAUCGGAACUCAGGACUCACGGCCUCGGCUUCUUCCUCCGGUAAUGAAUUUUCCGUUUUUGUAGUUUCGUAGUCUGUUUGUUUCCCGAGAAAAUCGAGGAAUUUAACCUGAUGAAAUUGUGUAGCGUUAAAAUUCCUGUUCUAAAAUUUCUGUGUUUUGUAGUGGAAGAGAUUGCAAAAUUUAAAUUUAGGAAGCAAAGCAUACAACUGCAAAUCUUGUUGUUAUCAUAUUUAUGGCCCAAACACCAAUUGCUUUGUAUUUCUUUGGUCCUUGCCGUUUCCUAUGAGUUGUGAGAAAAUCACAUGGGUCGGUUUUCGGAGUUUCCAAAUUUUAGUCUUUUCAAGAGAAUAAAGACAUUUAAUCGAAAAGUGCAGGAAAAGUAAACUCAGAGGAUGGUUUGCAAGACAUAGAUUUAGCAUGCUACAGGAGGCAUGUGGAAUAUAGAGCUUAAGGACAUGGAACUCACUAUUGAUUGUCUUUGAAAUGGUUUUGUACUUGAUUUUGGCGCACGCAGUUGAUUUUUUAGACUAUCGGUAAACUAAUUUGGAAUCAAACCUCUCUCAAACAAUUAGAAUGCACAAUGUCACCGAUAUAGGAUAUUAGGUUGCAUCAGUUUGAUCUUCCCCCAUUUUCCAGGUAAAGUACCUUUUCAUGAUAACCGUUUGGGGCAUAAAGUUGGGAAGGGACAACCUAGAACCAAAAUUAUUGAAUGGGAUGAAAGGUGUAGAUUGUAAAACUUGGAUAGUAUAUCUUGUAACGAUUUGAAUGAUAGAGACAGUGAGCAAAUCCAUAUUCGGGGCCUUCAUGCAUGGACUCGAGUGUUCUUUAAUCAUCUAAUCAGAAGCCGAUUGUUUAUACCAGUCAAUCGACGGUCCUCCUAUCACUACUGGCUUUGCCUCAAGUUACAAGUGAAGUUUCAAUUCAGGAUGAUGACCUAUCAUGUUGAAGAUCAACACCAGCCCAAUUGGUGUUUGGAUUCUAGAAGAUUCUAGCAGCAAGUCUAGAGGGCAGAGCUUCCUGAAGACUUGCACUUUGUCCAGGUGCAAUGGAACUAGAUUUUUCUAUAGAAUUAUCUAAAGCUAAGUAGUCUUUUGUAGAAAGGAUUAGAAGGAUGUUUCUUAUGUCGGUGGAAGGCUGUGUGCAUGAUCAAUGCACUAGAAAGUUCUAGUGAUAGUAUAAGUCGGCAAACAUGCCUUAUAAAUAUGUAUGUAUGAGUGUUGUAAUGUAACCAAGAAGAAGUAAGAGAGCAAACCAAGAGAGAGCUAAGUAAGAGAGUGAGAAGCCUUGUAAGUGAGUAGUCUUGUAAAGAGUGUGAGUGGUCUAGAGUUUGUCUCUAGAAGUGAGAGAGUGUCAUACGUUCUAAAUUGUGUCCUUGAUAGUUGUUGUGUUGUAAUAUUCUGUGAGUUAAUACAAGUAAUUUGUUUACUUGUUUUGUCUCUCCAACACUUGUGUUAGAGCUGUGUAUUCUAGUUUUUCCUCAACAUAUCACUUAGGUGGUUAUCCAUAUGGACCAUGUUGUGACAGUUUCAAUAGCUGCGUGUACUCUUUCUUUGCUGUCUUUGGAAUAUUUAGCCUGUAUAGCUGAAUUACGAAGUGUGACUGAAUUGGUGAUUCAGUAAUUACAUGUAUAUGUGGAAAAAAAAUUACUUUUCGUAGGUUGAAGCAAAGAAGCAAACAUUUUCAUCCUUCCAAGAUUUGCUGGCUACCUCUGAAAAACCUGUGUUGGUUGACUUCUAUGCAACCUGGUAAGCUUUUCUUGUGUAUCUCACUUCUUAUUUUGUUUGCAAUUUGUCAUUAUUGUUGUAUUGUCAGCUAAACUUUAAUUCCUAAACAAGGUGGUAGCUAUUCACCUUUUAGGUUUUCCCUCUCUAUAUAAAGGUAAGAAUAGACAAUUAAGUAAUAAACUCUGGUUGACAGGUGUGGACCUUGUCAAUUUAUGGCACCCAUCCUCAAUGAAGUCAGUAUUACGCUGAAUGACAAGAUCCAGGUUGUGAAAAUUGACACAGAGAAGUAUCCUAGCAUUGCUGAUAAAUAUAACAUACAAGCAUUGCCUACUUUCAUCAUAUUUAAGGAUGGAGAGCCAUUUGACCGCUUUGUAAGUUGAAUUUGUUCUCUUUUUUCCUUUGGGAGAUUAAUAUGUUUGCCUUUGGUAGACGAUCAAAUGUCUAGAAAUGUGUAAUCUGUCACAUAACAUCUCAUACUGAUUGCAUGCUUUUUAUACGGCCAGAAUAUGGACGGGUAUUGUCAAGUUGUUACGAUUUGCUGUUAAUUCCACUUUUUAGAUUUUGUAAGAUAUCCUAUGCACUUGCAUUGGUUUACAAUUUCGUCAGGUGUGUUGCUUUGCAUGCUUUUCUUCUUCUUUUGCUUAGUUUUGAUUCGAAGAUGUUGAAUUUUAAGGAUUUAUGUUCUCUUAGAUCCAAAAUAUUAAAUAGAAUAAAUAAUGUAUGUUCUCCGUGCAUGUAUGCAAGGCACUGUUAGAUUAGUUUUGGCGGUUUUUCUUUUUGGUUUUUUGGUCGAUUUUAAAUAUCUAUGAUGACUUUGCUUUCAUUACUUGCAGGAGGGUGCUAUGACUGCUGAUCAGCUUGUCGAACGAAUAGAAACUACUUUGAAAGUUAAGUAGGAGACAGGUGAGCUCUAUAAUAUUCGUGAGUUGAGAGCACUCGUAUCGUCCGCUGUUCUUUCUCUGCUUCCUCCUCCCCAUUUCCUAACCUUUCCUUUUUCUUCACUCUUCAUUUAUUGGUCCAGCUUCUCAGGUUGAACCGAGAAGCUGAUCGAUUCAGCCGCAUUGCAAGAAAAAUGGAUUUUAUGAAGAAAGGCACUGGAUGUUUCCUCUGCUUUUUUAUUUUUUGUAUGUAACUGGUUUGUACCAACAAAAAAGUUACGAGACUUGGCGUAAUCGCACGGGUAAAGCUUAGUGAAAACAAUUUUACGAUGUCAGUUUCUGUUGUGAUAUACACAUCCACAUCAGUUGCAUUUGAUUGAAAUUCAUGAUUUGGAAAAGUUAAUGAAAUUUUGUGGACAUUCAUUUCAUUUGCAAUGCAACUUAGACCUUAUUGGCAAUUGGUUUGUGGACACAAGAUUUACUACUUAAUUUGGAUACCUUGUCAAAUUAGAGUCAAUAAUUAACAAUGGCAUAUCUAGUAAGAAGUUAUUUCUGCAUGCCUCCCUUCCCAUUUCCUACGGCUGUUUAGCUUGCAAGCACACAAAUCAUUUGUAAUAAAGAUAUGCAAAUACGAGAUCAAAUUCAUCGAGAUUGAAUGAACAAUAAUUUGGUAUCUUAUGUUUAGCUGCGGACAUGACUGACCUCAGGAGGUCUCAAUGGAAAAAAUUUCAGAAAAAAUGUAGACAAAAGUAACAUUGAGGAAUUAAAUGAUAAUUCUUUUCAUUCGUAAAUAAUAGUGUAAACAAUGUUAUUACAAUCUACAAAGUCCAAAAUUAUCAUCGACGAGUUUUCAUAUUUUGAAAAUGUUUAUGAUAGUUUCAUACUCAACGAUCAAUCCACAACUCUAAUAACUGAAAUUUGAGAAUAAUGAGUACAAAUAGUGAACUUGAUACACUAGGAAGCUUAAGGAGGUCCCAGAAAGUCCAUAUUCGGGGCCUUCAUGCAUGGACUCGAGUGUUUCUUAAUCAUCUAAUCAGAAGCCGAUUGUUUAUACCAGUCAAUCGACGUCCCAGAAAGUCCGCUCUUCUGCUUCGACGUUGCUGAACCCGCUCUACCAUGGAGACGGCUCCCUCCUCGUCUUCCUACCCAUGGCACGGGUUUAGUCCUCCUUGAUGGUCAGCUAAUGUUCACCUAAGCUUUCGCACUUAGUAAACAAGCCUUCACUAGUUGCCUGGAACAUAACUACUAUUACUAUGAUGAUUAUUACGCCGACCACCACGGCGUUUAUAAUGCUUCUGGUUCUAAUUGGGGUGUAGUAGCCUGUCAACUGUCCAGUACCGAUUCCGAUGACUUCGGAACUUGGAUUAAGCCCAUCCAAAUUCUGGAGCCAAGGUUGCCGAGUGAAUUUUGGGGGCGAUGCACACUUAUAGCUUUGCUCAUCUAGGAGGUUCAAAAGUAUGCUUUGUUCUUUCCAAUCCCAUCUCGCACCCAAAAAAAAUUUGUCUUUGGAAGGUGCGUCUUCUUGUUCAAACUUUUGAGUUUUCCUUCUCCAAACAAAGUACCACCCUCACUAGUGCUGCUUUAUUUUAUUGUUUUUUAUUUUUUGUUUUUUUUGGAAAACCUUAAUGGUAUAAGGGUAAUUUUAUUGAUAACAAAAAAAUAAGUUACACCUAGACAGAAGGGGACAUAAACCUUACCCCUCAUAAAACAGAGACAAUAAAUAGGAAUACACGAAAAAGAAGGGGGAACAUAAACCUUACCCUUCUAGAAAUAAAAAACGAGAAUGAUACAAAGAAAAGAGGGGGGGGACAUGAAACAUAAUCCCUCUAAAACCAAACCUAAAGGUCUAAACUUGCAAAACAAGUCAAACAACCCCAUAAAGUUAGGAGAAAAAAAAAAGUGAGACAAACCUGGAUGCCGACAUGCACAUUAAUUUGAGAAGCAAUAACCAGGCAAGCCAACAUAGUCUGAAAACAAAGCAGCACAAACCGCCAUCGGAGGAGAAUCAUGCCAAGUUAAAGAUGGAGAAGACAAUCCCAUGUUAGCAAAAUUGUCUGCAACAAGAUUUACUUCACGAUGUACAUGAGAUACAUAGAAAGUCAUUUUCCGAAUACGAUCUAAACAAAUAGACCAUUGCGUAUGAAGAGGCCAAGGAGGAUCAAAAUUAGACGAUUGAAGAGCAUAAAUAACACUAGAACUAUUACUUUCAAACCAAAGACAAUGCCAACCCUAUUGAUAUGCAAACUCAAUACUAAUAAUAAUUGCUAAUAACUCUGCAAAAAAAAAAAAAAAAGUUGCGAUGACCAAUGCAUUGACAGAAACCUCCAAGAAAACAACCAUGACAAUUCCUGAAAAAUCCUCCACAUGUAGCAGGAUCAGAAUUUCCUUUAGACAAACCAUCUGUAUUAAGCUUAAACCAAGGAAACCAAAGGACAGGAAGAAUAGUAGGUGCCUUGCGAGGGAUAGGUUGGAUCCCCAAAGAAGAAAUGAUCCGAGUGUCAAAACCUUGAGAAUAACCAGAAAUAAACUUCCCACCAUGAACAAUCGCCGAAUUGAUAGAAAUGCAAAAGACGAUGAAAAUAGAUUGGACGACCCUAAAAAAUAAAUUUAUUUUGAGCCUUCUAAAUAGCUGAAAUAGUAGAAAGACCCGCAAAAAUCCAUAGAUUGUGCAACUGUUUGGAAAAUGGCUUACAGACAUAGACAUCCCAAAAAACAACCAAAGAAUCUGAAAGAGGCAAAAAUGUACCAAAUUAACAUACUAACCACCUCCAAAGUUGCCUAGAUAUCUGACAUCCAAUGCUGCCGAUGAUGGUGAUGAUUAUAAUUAUAAUGAUGGAGGCUGCGAUUCAAAAAGAUCAUUCGAUUUCUCCUCUUUCAAAGCCGACAUCCUCUCCACUCGCAACUUUGAAUACGAUUGGUGCGGAGAAUCUUUUGAGACUGCUCACGCAGCCGUGCUUGGUUGCUUUGCCCUGUAAGUUUCGUCGGUAAGGUUAACUUUCCAAUUCUAUCCCAUUUUCUGUAUUUGCUUUCUCCUGCGUGCGGCCUUAACUUGUAACUGUACUACGUAGGAAAGCAUUAGUCAAUGUAUUUCCUGUGCACACACUAUCACUUGAGGAACAAGUUCGACUGCAUUGUUUGCGAUUUAAGUCAAUCUAGACCCUGCAUUGCAACUCGCAUUGGGUCUUACUGGAACUACUUACAGCGAGCAUGCAAAACCCCCUGCGUGUUGAUUGAGGUUCUGAGGGGGAACACUCCAUCAAGCACGUUGAAGAUAUGGUCUGUAGCAGCAUUGCUUGGAAAUUGGAAAUUGGAGAUCUGCCUAGCUAGCUACUAUUUCUGUGUCUAGCUCCUCAUGUAGUUUUCUGUUAGGUAAUUUUUUUUUUUUUUUAAAUGGAAGAACAGGCAUUUUAUUAAAUAAAAAAAAAUAUUUAGUCAUAUUUUUAGGCUUAUUAUAUUUAUACCCUACAUAUUGUUGAAUAAACCUUAUAUACUUAAUACACCUCAUAUUUACUUUUUCAAUUAAAAUUUAUCUUAAUACACCCCAUUUACUUUCCCAUAUUACCCUCCCACCCCCAUUCUCAACAUACACCUUACAUUUUCUAUAUACACCCCAAAUUUUUUAUAACUCAGUCACAAUCAAGAUUGGAGGAAGAUAAGGCUGCUGAGACUUUGUUGAAGGUGGCAGACGAGGUUAUACGCUGAGGUUUAAUGACAAAAAUUCGAGGGUAAAAGCAGCAAGGGAAAGGAGAACAAUUAGAGGGUCUCUUGUAAUGUGAAUGGCACUAGGACUUUGCCCAGAUUGGCAAAAACGUAGCUGAAUGUUGAUGUAGUUUUAUUGCAUUUUCAGAUGUAUGAAAAAAAAAAACAUAUUUAUUUAUUGGUGUUGAAUUGCAGAACAAAGAUUGUGUUUAGCCAUUUUAUUACUAUUAUCAUUUCUUUAAAUUGGGGUUAUGCCGUGAGAUGAUAUACAUAAGGAAAUAUUGUUAAUUUCUUCGCACUCCAUUCAAGUUCUAACCUUGUAGUUUCAUCAUUUUGCUUGCCUUUGCUGGGAAGACAAAAAAAAUAGAUAAAUAAUACGUUAAAAGUGAUUUGAGGUUUAUUCAGAAUUUUUUUAUAUUUUUAAAAAACUAAUAAGGUCAAAAUUGACAUUGUAUAGAGUGUAUAAGUUAUUUAAUAUCGAAUUUGAAUGUGAGGUGUAUUUAUCAGUACGGAUGUGUACAUCUUUUAUUGGCACGGAAGUACUUAUCGAUUAUGCAUUGAAUUUUUUAGUAAUUUAAUUCAAAAUGUGAAGUAGCUUUUGUAAAGUUACCGAAAGCGCCGUGACGGAGAUGAAGAUGGAAAUGGUGUAAAACUUUUGACGAGUUGAACCGAAAGCGCCGUGACGGAGAUGGAGGUGGAGAUGGAGAUGAGGGCCGGGGAAGAAAUAGAGAUAGGACAAGACAUAACGCCACCGCUCCCUCCGCUUUCUUCCUCUCUCCACCACUCCCUCCUCUCAUCUCACUGCUCUUCCUGCUUCUCCCCUCUCCCUCCCCAACCCUUCCCUCCCCUCUUUACUCCUACCUUUCCCAACACUCCCUCCUCCUACUACUGCUCCUCCCUCUGCUCCUCCGCCGAUUCUCCCCUCCACGUCUCCAGCGCCGAGCCCUACCUUCUCCUGCUUCUCCAAUCCCACCCCUCCGCCUACCCCAACGGCGACUCCUCCGACCUCCGCGCCGCCCUCCGCCUCCUCCAAUCCCUUCCCGCCACCUCCCCCUACCCUCGCGUAGCCGGCCUCCUGACGAAUCGCCACAAACUCCUCCACCACCACGACCAUAGGGUUCGCGACGGCGCCAGAGCCAUGUUCCUCGCCAGGAAGAUGCGGGAUGAAUCUCCGAAUUUCUCUAUCGAUGCGACUAUUGCCAACGUUGCUCCGCACGACGCCGUAUUGGAGGAGGCCGUGCUGUCAUUGGUGCUAACGAACGCCGUGGAGGUGCAGGAUAAGACCGGGCGCACCCUUGGAAUUUCCGUCUACGGUCCCAGCUUCUGCUGGAUCAACCACAGCUGCUCCCCGAAUGCUUGCUACCGCUUUUCUUUGAUGACACCGCCAACGCCACCUUGUUGGCCCGAAACGGCGCUGCUGCGCAUUGUCCCCUUCGGCCGCUCCUCCGGUCGUGCCACACAAGUAAUCCCUGCAAAUUUGCACCGUUUGUUUAAUUUAUAGUGGAAUAAGAUUGAAAUUCAGGGUUGUGAGAUGGAUAUUUGUUGCAGAUUGAGAAUGGUGUUUGUAGCAAUAAUGUGUUAGCAAAAGGUGUUGUGGUUUUUUUAAGUUUUCGUGCUUCUUUUCGGUUUUUGUUUGUUUGAAUUAGUACACCAAAUUUACCAGUAUUAUUGAACCAUUCGUGUAUAUUACGAAUGUAGAAAGCCGAGGUUAUGGUCCAAGAGUGACGGUUAGGAGCAUCAAGAGAAUCAAGAAAGGCGAAGAAGUGACUGUUACUUACACUGAUUUGUUGCAGCCUAAGGUAUCUGCAUUUUAUCUAUAUACACAUUAUACAUGGAUCAGCGAUUGGAAUUUUGAAUUCAUAUAAUCCACAUCUGUUUUGUCAAGUUAACUGAGCGAUGUUUCGAUGACUGUGAGAUGAGAAUUUGCUAGUGUCAUUUUCUGCUUAUUGUCCCUGUCUUAGGAAACUAAACUUGAUGAGACAAUGCAAGGCAAUCCGACUUCUUUCCACUUUAGGGAUUAGCUAAAUCUUGCCCCAUUUGACUUUUCUUUUACUUAUUUCCAAUUUUAAUUGUGUUGAUGUUAUAUUUUAAUCCCUUUCUUUUAACGUCACAUUUUCUUUUCUUCUCAUGAGCUCCUCCAGGCAAUGAGGCAGUCAGAGCUAUGGUCAAGGUAUCGGUUUAUCUGCUCUUGUACGCGAUGUAGUGCAUCACCCCUAACCUACGUGGAUCAAGCUUUGGAGGUGGCAAUUCAUGAAAACUUUUUCUUUCUUUCUUGAUAUUCUCAAUUAAAUACUAAUUCUUAAGUCUAUUUGGAGUUCUUCCGUAAUAUCUUUAUACUAUUGAUUUUACAGAAAUUAUAAAUGCACUAGGAUAUUUGUACUUCUAGAUUCUUGUUUUUGUAUCCCCCCCUGUAUAUAGUUUGGCCUUCACUUUGAACAAAAGCUCUUUUUCAACUUGAACAUGAAUUACCUCCUAACCAUUUUUCUUCCUCUCUGGCAGUCAACUUUAUUUCCUAGGAUGUAGCUAAUGUUCUUAUUGGUGUUUUUUGAAUAAUCAUUAACCUUCGGUUUCAAAACUCCAGGAAAUAUUUGCAGUCAAUUCCAACUCCUCCAGUUUGAGUUUAGAAAUAAACUUCAAUAGAGAUAAGGCAACGCAAUUGUUGAGUGUUUACUUUGAUGAUGCUAUUGACGACUACCUGUCGAGUGGCGAUCCUGAAUCUUCUUGUGAGAGGCUUGAGCAUGCGUUCACACAAGGACUCUCUGAUAUGCAAUUAGAUUGCAACGGAGAAACAUCUCAGCUGAGAUACUGGUUGCACCCAUUAAAUUACCUCUCCCUAAAUGCCUACACAACAUUGGCUUCAGCGUAUAAAAUCCGUGCAACUGACAUGAUAGCUUUAUGUUCUAAAAUGGAUGAUCAUCUGUUAAAAGCUUUGAACUUAAGCAGGACUAGUGCAGCAUACUCCUUACUACUUGCUGGUGCAACUCACCAUCUGUUCCGCUCUGAAUCGUCUCUAAUUGUAUCUGUUGCAAAUUUCUGGACAAGCGCAGGGGAGUCAUUGUUAACUCUUGCUAAAAGCUCAGUCUGGAGUGAGUUUGUCCACCGGGAUCUGCCUGUGUCAAAUCCAUGUUCCACUGCAAGUUAUAGAUGUCCAAAAUGCUCAUUGAUAGACAAAUUUGAAGCUUGUUUAUUCUAUGGUCAAGUUCAACAUGCAGAUUUUGACGAUGUCUCAAGUGAAUUCAUUGAUUGCGUCUCUAACUUUACACAGAAUGUUUGGAAUAUUUUGGCUCUCAGUUGCCAGUACCUUAGAUUGAUUAAGAGUCCUAUUGAUUUCAGUUGGCUUGGUACCACAAAAGAUUCCAGUGUAGGGGAAGUUCUGAUUCGGUCUAGUGGCACUAAAGCGGGUUCUUGUGGGACUGAGAGAAGCAUUUCUGGAAGUGAAGCAGAGGGAUACACAGCCCAGGUACGGAUAUGUAUUUUUAAGCUCGGUGUCCAUUGCUUACUAUAUGGAGGAUAUCUAGCGAGCAUAUGUUAUGGUAAUUCCCAUUUGACCUGUUAUGUUCGUAAUAUUUUAGAUAUGGAAGGGAUAUUAUUGAAUCCUUGUCAUGAACCAAAUUGAGUUUGAGAUCUUAGAAGUUAAAUUAUUCCUGUUUUGGUGUUAAUUGCUGUGUUAUUAUACUCGUUAAGAAUCUGUUAAAAAUGUUGGUUGCAUAUAUCGUCUUCUCUGCUUGUGAUUUUUCGCCUCGAACUCUAUUCGUCUUGCAUGAUGCCCCAAGGAAUCAGCCACACGUAUCAGAAGUUUGUGUCAACGGAUUCAAUUUGAUAGACUACAGUGGGUUUCAAAAUAGAAUAAUCCGCUAUAGCUGUUUCAUAUAUCAUUUCGGUUCAGUCAAAUUAAAGAACCAAAAUUGAAAUCACAAUUGGAUUCGAUUUGGAAACAUCUGAAAUACAAAAUUGAAACCACAAUCGAAUUAAAGAACAAAAAUUGUCAUCUCCUGAUGCAUCCCUGUUUCUAUUUGUGUUCGUGUUUGUGUCAAAAAUACAUCGUAAGAAUGUUAUAACAGUUGCAUACUUAAAGCGACGCCCUACUGAAUGUUACAAUAGAUGCAUACAAGACCGUCGCUAAUGUCAAUGUUUCUUCUUUUUGUUGGACUUUGAGUUGGAGCCAUGCUCAUUUUUAUGUCGCUUUUCCCCACUCUUGUGACUCUCUCUCUGUUUUCCUUUAUCCAUUUUGUUUCUACUUGAUUUCACGCUAACGAGACCACCAGCAGGUAGGUUUGCACCGCCAUUCUGUAAUGCAUUCUCAAAGUCUGCAUCUCUGUCCCCAAUCGCGUACUGUUGAAGCAACUUGGGAUCUAAUGACCCCUCCGAGUUGGAUCUCAUCCCAUCCUGUAUGUGCGUAGUCAAGUCAGCCCAACUCUUGGGAUUCAGAACGCGGGAAAGAGAGGCAGUUCAGGUAACACGAAGGUAAGGAAGGAAUAAAGCGUACCUCAACUUUUCUUGCAGCAUCAUUGAGAUCAUCAUCAACAGAGAUCUUGUGAGGUUCCAAGAGAGUCUGAACCAAAAUUUCCGAAUCAGAGUGGAGUUACAACAUAGGCAGAAGAAAAGCACAGUAGCAUACAUACACGCACGCACGCACAAUUAUAAUGUGAUAGACGAUGUUUAAGCUUGCAUUAAGAAACACAAUAAUGUAAACUUAGCGAUUACAUAUCAAACAAAAUAGUUCAGGUACCAAAGUGGCUCACGCGCAACACACAUGUCAAUAUCAUAUAGUUAAGCCAACUAGAAUCAUAAUGCAUCCUACGACAUGAAAUUAUUAGAAAGAGAUGGAAACCACCAACAUAUCAUGUACUUUCCAUAAGAAAAAAAAGGGUUACUGCUUUGCUGAACUUACUUCUUUUGGUUUAGGCAAGGUUGACACAAGGCCCUCAGAUGCAAUAGCGUAUAGAUAUUUGUGAAACUUUUUCAUAACUUUUAUAAACAGAGACAAUAUUUGCUGCCUUUCCAGUUUCAUCAACCCCUGGAAAACGUGAAUGUAAGUAAAAAUCUACACCUGAUAAGAAUGAAAUAAAGAGCAGAAAUGACGCCACCAAGUAGAGUGUUUUGUCUUUGCAAGUGGGUUUGAUUGCGUGCUCGCAUUGCAUCUAUGUGACUGGUAUAGCCAAGCAAACCAUAUGAGUAACAAGUAGAGAAACAAACCUCAAUAUAGGAGAUAUCUUGAUUCUGUAAGCCAAUGCAGAGCAAUAUGGAAGCCUGGGCACCUGUCAAUGUCACUGGAAGUUUCUCUUGGAAAUACAGAUGUGAAAGCGUUGGAACAAGAUCCAAAAUCUGUAAAAUAAAAGCAUAACUUUAACAUGUGUAAAGUUAUAAACAAACGAUAACUAGAGUACAAGAGGACCUCAGUUUAGAAAAUGACACUUAAUUUCAAAUUCAAAUGGACCCCAGGGUUUAAACUGUAAUUUUAAAAACAAUUCGCAGGUAAUUUGAAGAAAGUAAGGUCUGUUGGUUAAGGAUGAAAAUGCAAUAAGCCCUCGGAUCCCUCCUCCCCACUAUCAUCUAUGCCUAACAGGAGGAAGAACAUCUUGACACAUUCAAACUGGCAGCCUUUCCCAAAAAACAGAAGGAAGCAGAUAAUCCACUCAAACCAUAAUCAACAAAAAUGGACGACAUGCCAUUGACCAGGAUGCACUGCACCUUCCUGAGAACCGCACAACAAAUGGGUUCACCUCCCUCAGGGGCAUACCCACAAGGGGGUGGGAUUGGGUGGGAGGGGAAGAGAAGGGGUCUAAUAGCCUAAUCGCUGUUGAUUUCAUCUUUUUAUGUAACACAGAGCACGGGAUGAAACAUCGGCCACAGAAUCCUACACACAAAUUACUUGUAAAGUACACAAAUUCCCCUUCUCAAACAAGCAAUUUUGAACUUUUAAUGUGUAACUGAACAUAUAUAUACAUAUAAUUAGAUCAAUAACUAAACACAAUGUCCUAAUAGUUCACUUUUGAAAAAGAUUAUUCAUAAAACAUUGCAAGAGUAAUAUAUGUUCACAAUCAUGGUAUCAGAUUGUCCACAGUAAGAAAACAAAUAUUUCACCACUGUCAACUAAAAAUUGUAUCACAAUCACAAUCAUAUUGCCACACUGAGACGAUAAUUCUAUCACAAAGGAAUACAAUUUUUCUUUUGUAAUGCAAUAUUACUUUCUUUUUCUAAAGGAAAGCAUAUUUUGUCUUGUAACGCAAAUAUCUUUUUUGAUUCUAAGGGAAGUAUUUCUUGUUCUGUAAUGCAAACAUUACUUCUAUUUUUAAUAUGAAUGUAUGGAAUCAAUUAGUAAUCCUAAGAUAAAAAAAUCCCAAAACACUACAUAGCACUAUGACAGGGCAAGUUGGCAAUCAACCAUUGUUCAGAGAACUUACCAUAUGAAAGUCAGCAAGACUGCUGGUGUAGGCCUCCAGUCGCUUCAUAUCAUAAGGCGAAAGUAAGUCUGUGAUAGACCGUAAGAAUCCAUCUGUGGUAGACGAUUUGGGUUCUCCAUCCUUGUAAUUGAUCUUAGGAUCUAAGAUGCUGGAAAAUUAUUAGUUAGUACGAGCACUUGAACAAUAAGCAUUUAUCAGAAUGGAACUUUUAAUAGUACCUCAUAGCGAGCCUAUAAUCCAUUGUACGAAAACUAUAACCCAAUAGUCUCAAAAAUCUUCUCCUGAAAUCUAGGUAGCCAACAAAUAAUCAAGCUGUGAACUGAAAUACAAAAAAUCUGCACAAAUUUAAAUAGAACAAAGGUUUUCCAAAGAAAAAUGGGCCCACCUAGGUUGAAUGGACGAAAAUCACUGGUUUCAAGUUCAUCAUUCUUCAAAGAUUUGAGGACCAUACACGUAUGCUCCCCGGUCACACCACUCUAUUACAUUGAAAAGAAAAAUGAAAAAUUAUUGUUUAAUCAGUCAUUCAUUCACAAAUGAUAAUAUUCAAAAAAACAGUAAACGGAAAAAAGGAUUCAGUAUGGAGAGGGGAAUCCAUCUUAACUGGAAUAUGUCCAAUAUAGAAUGGAGCAAACUUAUGUUUCCACCAAAACCUGAAAAGGUCCAAGGUAAGCCCAAAGGAGACACCAAUAUAAUGGAGCUUCUCUGGUCGCCUUUCACGAAGAUGAACAAGCAAAUGAGGAAGAUCUGUUCUAGGUUUUAUACUUUCUUCCAGCAAUGAAACCUAUAAAUAAAAUAGACAUAGGUAUCAUUCCGAUAAACAAUAUCAAGGCACAGGCGGCAGGUUGAUUAAUACCAAACAAACAAACCAAUACAUGAUAAUAUACUUUGAUGUCAUUAUGAUUAAAAUUAACACAACAAAUGAUCAUUCACAAAAGUUUGUCAAAUUAUAUUCAAACACAGAAAUUGUUCUACAAUCACCGGAAUGAAGCUUAACCAACUCAAACACUUCGACAGAACAAGAAUUGCAUUACCAGAAACCUAUGAGUUACAAAAUUGCCUCCAAUUGCAAUAAUAAUACAUAGAAUAGUCUCGUAUAAGCAGUUCUCCAACCUAUUAAUUAAAAAUAUUUAUAAAAAAAAAAAAACUAAGCUUGGUGAUUGUAGUUCACCUUCUCAGCAGCUUCUGUGACUCUGAGUGGGGGAGUCUCAACAUCUUCAACGUCCAGUUCAGAAAUAGGAGCAAACUGUCCUUCGUAGUACCUGAGGAGAAAUAAACCCUUAACACCCAUUUUUUCAAAUAUAAAAACAUAAAUGUGAAGCAUCAACUUUUAGAACCAAAGAGAUUCAGUGCAAUUUUCAUGUCAAAACACUUUUAUCUCAAUAAUGAAGUACUUAUGAGUUACAUUGAUACAAGAGCAAUGCAUCCCACAUAUCACACACAUUCCUUAUAUCUGGAUCCCCAACAAUAGCAAUCCAAUGUCACCCACAUAGCACAUGAUACAUACCAGAGGUGUCCCUAGAAUGUCCACAUCAGCCAUUCCUUAUAUCUGUGUCCCCAAAAACAUUUGCAGUAAAAAGUACAUGGACUUAUGAGCACAAAGGGAUAACGGACAUGUAUGGGUUGACUUGAGAGAUAAACCAAGUAAAGUAAGUUCAAGAAAAAAUCUAGGACCAAAUAGGAUACAAGGUCAGAAUCAGUGUGACCCAUCUAAAAAGUUAGGACCCCACAUUAAUUUGUGCAGUCAACAACGAGGAUCCAUCUUUGGAUUAUUAUCCUAAAACGCUCUAUCUUUGGAUUAUAUCCUAAAGUGCUGCUGGUUAAGCUUGUUUCUGGUUUUUCUCUGUUGGAAAUUUCAAUUACUAACGAAAUAUCCAAUCUUCAUUUAAACAUACAGAUUUAAACUCAACUGUUGGCACUGCAGACUCUUGGCCAUUGUUGGGAUUGAAAUAAGCUAGAGUUUCUCAAGAUAAAUGCGGAUGAGGUGGGUUUUAUUUGAGAUAGCGAAUUCCAUGUGUUUGUGGAUUUAUUGCCAAAGCAAUUUGGGAAGAUCCCUGCUGUUUCCUCCAGAUGGAUGGGGUUAUAAUUUCAUUGUAACUUUUCUGAAGUAAGUUUUAGUUGGACUCCUUUUCUUUGCAAUGGACAACUUCUCCUCCUUUCCUUUAGAAAAUGCUUUGCUUUGCUGAAUUUUUCGUAACUCUUAGAAAUGUAACCCAAACUAAGAUGAAAACCCCCAACAUGACCGUAUUUUAAUAUGCUAUCACUUCUAAUCCUCUAUAUCUUUCCACUUGUUUCUCCAACUACCAUCAUAUGACUCGAGAGUUGUAUUGUGAGAAAGUCAUCUGUAUAUCAAAACUGAAAUCAAAUGAUCAUCUCUUCAGCACCCACAUGGUCUAUGUUCUAUAGCUUUCAACCCAAGUGAACUGAAAGCAUGAGACUCACAUUUUGAGUUGCGACUUUAUGUGCCUGAGCCAGGGUGCAUAUGCAUGAUUGCUUUUCAUUCAUUUUAGAAAUCAUUUGAAGCAUUGCUUCAGACAUAUAAUCUUCAAUCUUUUCACCUUUUUUUUUAUGACAAACAGUAGCGUUAGUGGGUUAAAAGUUUAUUUGUUAGGGGGAGGGGAAUCGAUGGGCAUCAAACCCGCACCAGGGUGCAUAUGCAUGAUUGCUUUUCAUUCAAAGUGUAGCAAUAUGGGGCUAAAAGAAUCACUCAGUCAAUCUUUCUCAACACCUUAGGCAUCCACAUACACAUUGGGAUCAUGUAUGUGAUCUACAAAAACGUUUAGGUGGGGAAUAACUCAAAGAGGAGCAUACCUUGUCAAUAGUUCCACUGCUUGUGAUCCAUAUCCAAUCUACAACAACGAAAAAUAAAUUACCAUUUCAACAGAUCCCUGGUUAUAGAUUACCAUUUCAACAAAAUCCUGGUUAUACAUAUUGCUUUGGAAACCAUAAUGAGAGAAUACCUUCAUGGCACUUGGAUGUGUAGCAAUUCGUACAAUCCGAGCACCUGAAAGACUGGGAAAAACUGUGUCCUGAAAUUGCUCACAGAAUUUCCAUGGUAUCUGGUCACCAGAAGGCUGAUGACCAUCACUUAAACUUUUCAUUGCAGAUUCACGAGAGAUCUUUCCCUCAAGGCAGACCUAAGAACAAAAUGAUAGCACAUAAAAUGUUGAGCAUCAAAGAAUUAGUGUUUUAUAGAAGAUGAAGUACGUGUUUAAAGUGUUGUCCUUUAUUGCUAUUUCACAUAAGGUAAAAUUAUAAAUAAAAAAACUAAUAAAAUUUUGGGUAUGCGUUAAAUAACUAAAAGAAAUAAUAGUCCUGAACUAGGGGAAGACAGUCAAACCUGAAUGACACACAAAAUAUCAGGAAGCUGAUUUUUUGACUCAUCAACAGGGCCUGCACGUGCAAAUUAUAAUCAAGUCCAGCCAAAUAGCGGCAAAAAAAGAAAGACCAGUUCUAACGUAACAUAUAUACCAAGUAGCACAAACAGGUGGUGAGCCGGGGCAUCAGCCAUUAGUUGCAAAUCAUUUGGAGAAUUUUUGUAGUGGGAGGCAACAUAUAGAGCCAUCAUCCGCUGCAAGUAUUAGAAUAUGUAAGUUCACUAAUAUGAAAAUGAGAAUCACUAGUCUGACAUUACUUGAACAUGUAAUUACCUGUAAGAACAACUCGCUAUCUUUAUGAUAUGAAAAAAGCGUAUCACAGUUUACGUAGUACAGAUCGCACUCACUGGGUGCAGGUAACCUAGCCGCCAAGAGAGAGAGAAGAGAGAGAGAGAUCAUUAAUAAAGGUAAGGGUUAUAAUGGAGAUGGUUACAUCUUCCUCGGUUCUGACUGUCUAAGCAAAUGUUUUUACCCGUUAAGUUUAGGGAUAUAAUUUGUGAUAUCCAAGCAAAGUAAACCAUGAAGCCAGGAUUCAAUCGGAUCACCAGAAGCAUAUCUGAUAGAUUCUUUCAAUUCUAUCUUUUUGAAAAGACGACCUACAAUCAGGGACAUUUAUCAAUUCAGAAAAUUAUGUCCAAAUAUCACAAAAUAGUUUUUAAAAAAUUAUACAUUGCUCACUUGCAAGCGCCAACAGUUCAAGUAUUUCAGAAACAAUAAUGUUAAGAGAAAGCAGAAGAAACAUUGAAUUUUGAAAAUAAAUUCAAGUUUUGGGGGGAAAGGGGGAUUUUGAUCCAACCUAAUUCAAGAUGAGAAUACAAAACACGGCCAAUAAGGAAUAAGCAUACCAGAUGUAGGCCCCUUAGCAGACACUUGGCUUUGCUCUUCCAAUUGCUGUAGAAGUUUUAGGGACAAAGACCGACCAGUACCUUCAUAGCUUUCAGUGUAAAAUAAAUGUCCUUUAGUAUUUAAAUUGCACUUAGAUUUUUUUUUUUUUACCAAAAGUUGAAUUCAGAGUUGACUUAUAAAUAGAAAGACAUCAAGCAUGAGUCAAGGAAAAGUGGAAACAGCCCAUGAAAAGUGAAAGAUCUUUCAUUCCCCCCCGCGGCCGUAACAGAAAGUGAAAAAGUGAAGUGAAAUAUGUUUCAUGAGACUGUUAAAACCAAAAAAGAACACAUGAUAAGAAUACACGACAUGAAGGAAGAAGAACAUGGAUGAAUCUUACCCAUUAACAGUAGAUGAAAGGAAGACCAGAUAAGGACCAAGCAAAGACUUCACUACUGGUAGUGGAAUAGCAGCUGCUUCAUCAACAACCAACAGUUCAACUUGGGAAAGCUUUUCAUGCUCAUGUGGCCGUAUAUACUGCAAGUACAAGUAACAAAAGUAAAAAACAAAUAGCCCCAAAAGCAAUGAGCAGUACAAAGUUCUUUCUUUUAGGCUACAUGAGGUGUAAAGGUCUAGACCACCUCACAAUCUCACAGGCAUGUUGAGUGCCUCUAUACCAUACAUACUGGAUUAGUGCCAGGAAGACACAUUAGGUUGACCAAAAAGUUUGGCGUUUCAGGAACAUGCUUUUAGAAGCAAGCUUCAGUAAUCACAAACCAUCUAAAUUAUGUUCAAUAUGCUCACACCAAUAACAAAAAUGAUGCACUUGGGCAAAAGUACAAUAGAAUUUUUGGAGUAGUCAAACAAAGACAACCACUAAUCAUAUAUGAGGGCAUACGACAUUUGAUGGGCAAAAGGUGAACACACUCAUGGCUAUUGUGAUGCGGCUAUCCAAUAGAAGAAUAUUCUCUAUUACAACUUGGUUAUCAACUUUUCAUGAGUAACAAUUCCUCCAUGUAUUUGUAUUUUGGUAUCAACUGACUAAACAAAAUCUUUAUUGCUAUUUUUUUAUAGAAAACGAGAUUUUAUUAAACAGCUAAAAAACAAUACAACACUUAGUGGACUAGGAAGUCCACCAUCAAAACGAAACAGCCCUGACAUAUGCCUCAACAUUCACCUCCAUCAUUAUAAAACAGAUCUGCAACUAUCUCACUGCAACUCCCCAAUCCAACAAAAUUACAUAAAAUGAAAGAUCCCAAAACCUUGGAGAGAGAGAAGCCAUAAGAAUGCCCAAUUCUUUCCCAAGAAUUCUCUUGUAAAUCCCCACUCUAAUUUUCAAAGGUUGCAAACUUGAAAUUAACAUAGAAGGUAACUGGCUUCAGAGUCAACUAGGAUAAUACUGGGCAUAUAUGCAGAGAGUAGGCAUAGUAGCAACUUUCAGGGUAUGGAAUAAUACAAAAGGAAAGGGAAGACCACAGAAUUCUCUCAGUCAUCUUAACUUGAUUUGGUACUAAGAAUAAGUUAUGUAUACACUUCCCACUGGCCCAUCUGUACGUUAAUAUAGAAAUAGAUUAUAUCCUGGCAACAAGGAAGUGAAAUACUCCUAUUUUUAUAUCAAUAUUGGGCACAAAUUAAGAGUUCAUCAAUAUAAUUUUACCUCAAUUGUAACCAACUGUGCAUAUAAGUUUACCUGAAUUGUUUGUCUGUGCUGCUUGUAUAUAUUGAUCUGUACAGUUGCUUUCUUCAACAAAGGGUCACUACUUUUCUGUACAUCAUAAUCUAUAUGUUCCUGCAAACAUAGUUUACAACUGUAAGCUCAAUAACUAGUGCACUGUUCGAAGUACAUGAUUGAAAAAUGAAGAAAACGGAGUGACCUUAUAACAAUUAAUGAAAGAUAAAAUGUAGUUCACAGAAUAAAACAUUCAAACACCACCAUCUUGAUAGUUAAACAAUUUCACUGUAAAAGCUAUUAAACUUAGCAGGAAAAAAAAUUUAAACUUUAUCUAACAUUUGAAUCUACAAUUUUCAAUUAGCAACUCUUGUCACAAAUGUUUAUUAGUGGGGUACGUUCUAAGAUAUUGUUAUUUGCUAAUUGUCGAGGAUUAUUUGGGAGUUAAAUCUCACAAGAAGGCGUAAAGAUCACAUUAGAAUUAGAUAUUUUACUAGGAAGCUAAAGAUCACAUUAGAACCACCCGCAGGAAUACAAAAAAACGACAUACCUUAUAGUCCAGUUGAUCAAAACCCUUGCAAACAAAUUCGAACAAGGUUCUUAAGUUCUCAGGGCUGGGUGCAGUUACAAAUAUAUUUGAAUACCUGUGAAGAUAUAUUUGUAUCGUCAAAACAUAGUACAUGAAUAUGAGUGUAGACAGCUACACAUACACCAAAACAGUUUUAAUACAUUGUAAAAGGCAUACUACCCUGCAGCAAUAGCUCCGGAAAUUGCCAAACCAAGUGCAGCCGAUUUUCCACGGCCUCGAGCAGCAAGCAAGGCAACAGUACUUCGGAGUGUCUUGUCCAAGAUUGCAUCAAGAAAUGUAGCAACAGCAUUUCCCUGUUGAAACAUUUACCAACUCAAACUAUGAGUCAUAUUAGUAAAUCACACAUGAUAGAAAAACUCAAAACUAAUACAAAUCAGAGAGAGUGCCUACCUGGUCCAACGUACAACAUUUCUUUAUUAAAGGGCCAACAGGAAAGGCAUCACUCAGCUGCUCUUUUAGAUCCUUCAGUUCCCUUUGUGACUCUGAUAUCCCUUCAGAGUCCUUCAAUCAUGAUCAGAAAACAAGAAAAAAGUUAUCAAAGUUAUCAAAGCUUCACAAACUCCUAGAAAGUAUCCUAAUAACCAUUCGGUAUACACACACUUGAAAAAUUACUUUUAUUCUUUUUGUCAUCUCGCAUAAGAUGCCACGAAAAUAAAGCAUUCCUCGAUUUAUCAGUUCCGUCCUAUAGAAAAGUUACAAGGCUAAAAGGUUACCUCUUUCACUGGAACUGGGGUAAUUGACCUCAUAUGAGAUGAAAUUGGUAAAAUAUUCAGCUCAUCAUCCAUUACUACACAUGAUUUGCAUGACGCAAGUGACAAUAAGAAACGCUCGUUAAAACGUCCAGUAGCCUUAGAAUGGGAUUCAGUUCGAAACCUAUCAUGAACAUCCUGAAAUCAAGAGGCGCUGAUAAGACUGUAUGGAGAUUUUUGCAUUUGAGAGAACGAGAAAGACAGUGUUGCAAAUAAAACAUGACAUAACGGAAUUGUUAUCAAAUAUAAUAUGUGGUGCAUGGCUAUUGCUAUAUUCGUUCUAAGUCCAUAAUGUAGUAAAACUAGAAACUACCUCAACAAGAAGAACAAAUAUUAUGAGGAAACCUAGUUGUUUUUUCUUCUUCUUUUUGGGGCUAGAACAUGAAAAGAAACAACUAGUCUACAUAGGCCCAACUGGGAAACUUAUAUGUUCAGCAGCAUUCUCUUAAAGAAAGUCAAGCAAUUGAAUCUACCAAAAGUCUUCUUGUAGCCAAGCACAUCAUUACGAAAAAAUUCGGAAACUUUUAACAUGGCUAGUUUUCAAGAUUUUGCGGUAUAUAAUAAGCAUAACCAUGCUGGCCUAAAAACUAAGCAUUAAUUGUGUGCAUGCGUAAGAGAAAGAGGUAUUAUUAUAUGCAUACCAUAACCAUGGUGUAGAGGUUGGUGAGUGAGGUUAGAGAAUGAAGCAACAAUAUGACUAGUCCACCUCCCUCCACUGUCUCUAUCGUUCUUGCUAGUAGAUUUGGAGUCAAGGCCUCAAAAUCCUAAUGCAGGAGAUCAAACUUAGUCAUAAAACUUAAAUCAAUUAUACAAGGGGUCUUGGCCAAACCAGUAAAUUUGUAAGUUUCAAGUUACCUGAAGUAUACACAUUCCAAAGGUAUUACCAAGAACUCUUUCUGAAUCCUUGUACAAGCAAUAAGUCAAUCCCCCACUUUCAACAAAAAGUGAGAAAGGAUCAACCUUCUCGGGAUCAAGCAGCCCCCUCUGCAUCAUCUUUUUUACUUGCUUAGCACGUUUUUUCUUGUGACUGCAUCAUGAAGUAGUCAAACGCAACGAAUCAAUAUAUUUUAAAAACGAAAUUCCGCCUUGCCUUAUAAUAAGGUGAAGAAUGGAAGGUAGAAGAAAUCAACCUGCUGAGCUCGAGCUUGUCCUUGUAGCACCACAACACAGUCGGGCGCGAUUUCUUUACUUCAUUGCUUAGCAUAUAAUGAAGAUUCACAAUCUGAAGACCAUAUAAAACUCCAUAUUAGCCAUUUUCCGUUAGUUUUCGAUAGAUUUUCGAUGAUAUUUCUUACCUUGUUUGAGGUUUUUAGUGUUACUCGGUGAGUAUUGCAGGUGAAAACAAGAAACAGUAAAACUGGUAAAAUUUUCUACCCAAUUCAAUUUAAAUCAUUGUUAUAACUCCUCAAAUUGAAUAGGAAUAGCAAAUAGGGAAUGGGAUAGGAAAGGCAGAAGAAAUUAGGAGUACCUGGUCACGGGAUUUGUCGCCGACGAUGACGAACAUGGAGCGGUGCCGGUUUUUGACGCCAUUGCUUAUUAGGGUUCGGAUUCGUUCGUCCACCUUCUUCCUCAUUCUCUCUCUCUCUUCUCUCUCUGUGCAAUUAGGUUUAGGGUUUAUACCAUAGGGCAGUUGUCGUCGUCGGGCAGGGUUUAAGCCGAACUAGUGAGAGAGAGACUAGACAUCGCGGAGAGAUAUUGAGUUCAUCUCAACCGUUGAUUGGCUAUCUGAUGGCUGUUAUCAAAGCUGACAUAAAAAUGAAAACUCAACACGUGGCCAAGUAUUUUUUUUCUCUCUUUUUUGGCUUAUUUAUUGAUUUGCCCCAGAAAUUAUUUUUUUUGUCUUACUCUAGGUCAUGAAACAGAAUUUAUCUUACUUUAUCUUCUAAAACUACCAAAAUCGAGUCAUUUCACCCAUGUUUUGUCAAUUCUAUCUCAUAAACGUUAAAUAAAAGGGAGUCUAAACAUUUCAUACCAUGCUAGCAAAGAUGAGCCACUGUUGUUGGUGAGGUACGAAAUUUUCAAACUUUCCUAAACCUUUAAAACUUAAAAGGUAUCUUGAAUAUGAACGUAAAUGAGGUAAAGUUGCUCAAUUUUGGCAAUUUAUGAAGGGUAAAAUGAGACAAAUUCAAUUUAAGGCUAAAGUGAGAGUAAAUGGCAGUUUCAUGAGAUAUAUCAAUAAAUAAAUCUUUUCUAGAAUACAACUAAAUUAUGUACUCACGGUAAAAGAUAAAUUAAUAUCGAACUUGUCAUUGACGAUAUCUAAACAUAAAACCUUUCAAGUUUUUACCUAUAAGAAUAAAUUUGGUAUAGUAAUUUCUUUUCUAAUUUAAAGUUUCCCAUAGAGUUAUGACGAAUUUGAUACCAAAUUAGGCUGUCAUUGUGUGGCAUAGCCGAAUUCCUCCUCCCUUACUUUAAAAAUAACGAUGUACUCAAAAAAAGUUUCCCAUAGAGUUAAAAUGAUCUUUAGUUGCUUGCUGAGACAACCCAUAUGUAUAAUAAGACAUUGAAAAAGGUGCCUCUGUCAUUUACACUCACACGAUCGAAUAAGUAGCUCCGACAGUUGCAUCAUAAAAUUAAGGGGUUUUCCGAGAUUGUAGUAAGGUUGACGAUUAAAGUUUGGGAAAUUUUCAGGUUAAGGAAUCAAGGGAUCACAUUUUCAAGUUUCGUAGGCAUUCUCUUUCCUUUGGAAUGGUGUUGGAAUCCGUCCUGAAGUUGCCCAUUCCUUUGCUCUUGAUUUUCAGAGUUGGAUAGCUAUAAACCUUAGGACACAUUGUACCACCAUACAUGGUUUACCUUGGAACCUUAUCUUUAAUUCAACUCUCUGGCAUUGCUGGAAAUGGAGGAAUAACUUUGUCUUCAAUGAUGGCCAACAACCGCUUGACUCACCCCAGAAUUUCAUUUUUCAAUUUGCAAGGGAAUGGUGUGAUGCGAACAAGUGUUCUUCUAGUAAGCCUCCUAGACAAAAUCAUCUCAAUCCAUUGGAUUCGUUUGCCAAUUGGUAUACAAAAUCAAUACAGAUGGGAGUUGUAAAGACCCAUUUAGCCACAUAAGUGCUGGAGGUUUGCUUCGUAAUUCUGAAGGGAAAUGGAUUAAGGGAUUUGCUGCUAAUUUGGGCAGAGGAACCAUCAUGGAAGGUGAGCUUUAAGGGUGGUUUCAUGGGACUUUCUAUAGGUUGGGAUGAGAGUUGCAAGGAAGUGAUUAUUGAAUGUGAUUCUUAUGCUGCUGUUACUUUGAUCCAACAACCUAUUUUAGUUCCCACUCUACAAUCUCAUUAUUGACUGCAAAGAAGCCAUUGAAAGAAAUUGAAGAUGUGAAGUUACUCAUAUCUAUAGAGAAAAUAAUGUCUUAGCUAAUCACACGUCUGACUUAGGUCAUGGGUUAUCACUUGGUCUUCAUGUUUUUGCUUCUCCUUCUACCAUUGCUACUAAUUUUAUAGUUUCUAAUACUAUUGGCAGGGCCCUCCCUAGAGCUGUUUUUUAGUAGCUUUUUUGUUUUGCUUGUUGGGCUUUGCCCUCUUCUGUACCCAAAAAAAAAAAAAAAAAAAAAAAUAUUGGGAAAUUUAUUUGGACCCAACUUUUUUAUCUCUACACCCAAAUAAUAUUUUCUCUUAUCUAAUCUUCCAAAUUUGUCCUUAAAUAACAAACAUUGAAGUUUUCUUUGUAUCUCUACACCCAAACCCCACGAUCCACCACUGUAGGGCGCUCCAUUAUUUCCGACAAACCCAACUCAAACGCCAGCAACACUAAAAUCGACAAAUCAAGACUGGAGAACAAAUGGUGUAGGAGUCCUAAUGUGAAUAUUAAAGCAAACUUAAGUUGCAAAACCCUUUUUUAUUUCAAUCGAUGAAAGGACCUUGGGUUAUGAACAUAAGGAACCUAUUAGGGUUUAGAGGUCCCCUCCACAUCAUAUGCAUAAGCCCUUUUUCUUCAUUCAUUAAUUUACGGAAGGGAAAAUUAAUACUAUUAUUCUCAUAAAAAGUGGGAAUACCAAGGAAAGAGAUCCUCUCCACACCAUAUAUUUUUCUUUUCUGAGUAGUUAUAUCCAAUGGAGAGAGGAAAACAAGAGCACCAAUGGUCGCAGGUUCACCGGAGAAAAUGAAGGUGCAGUGGUGAUGUGAGUUUAGGGUUAUUGGGUGUAAAGAUAACAACUUUAAUAUUUAUUUUCUCAUUUUUAUUUAUUUAAGGGCAAAUUUGAAAGUUUAGUAGAGAAAAUUUGUUAGUUGGGUGUAGAGAUAAAAAGGUUGGGUCCAACAAAAUUUCUCAUAAAGUUUAAUCACGCGAUUAAGUUCUUGUGCAAUGAGUAAAUUGUAGCAAUGACCCAUCAACUAAAAAUCCAUUAUUAUUGAUCCCUCAACUCAUCAAAAUAUGUAGUUAUGGUCAUUUUCGUCAACUUUGUAAGAAUUUUGUCAAAAUAAAUUAUGUUGGAAGGACCAUUGUUACAAUUAAGGUCCUUCAACUCAUCAAAACAUGUAGCUAUGGUCAUUUUCGUCAACUUUGUCAAAAUGAGUUAUGUUGGCAUGACCAUUAUUGCAAUUGGGUUAAAGUUGAGGAAUCAUUGCUCCAAUUGGGUUAAAGUUGAGGGAUCAUUUCUCUAGUUAGAUUAAAGUUGGGGGACCAAUGAUAAUUAAGUUUUAGUUAAGGGAUCAUAGUUGCACGUUUUGAUGAGUUGAGAGAUCAAUGAUAAUGAAUUUUUAGUUAAUGGAUCAUUACUCCAAUUGAGUUAAAAAUAAAGGACCAUUGCUACAAUUUACUCUUGUGCAAUAGAAGAUUAAUUUGGCCGAACAACCUGAUUAAGGUGCCUACUUUCUCUUUAAUUCAUUGGUAUCAUUUAUUUUCCCUUAAGCUGAAUUAUGCUCAAUUUAUGUAUCAAUAUUGUAAAGUUGUCUUUGUUAGAGUAAUUUGGACAAUAUAAAUUGAAAAUUAUUUGUGUAUAUGGAAAAGAUUAACCUCAGGGGUCACUUCGCCGGACUCCGUAGCAAUCUCCACCACUCCAAUCGUAAUGGUGAGUAAAUCACUUGUGUUUGUUUCCAUUUUUUCAAUUGGAAAUUGGGGGUUUUGAAUUCAUAUUUUGUCAAUUGGUUUUGUGAGCACUGAGAAUACACUACGAGCUUGUGUGUGUGUACAAUAUGUUGGAUUUGAUCUUUAUAAAGAAUGCGAGAAAUUGGGGUUAGGAAAGAGAAGAAAAGGAAACAGAACUCGAACUUCGAUCUUCAUUCUUGUUACUAAAGGAGAAAACCGAAUUUGAACCGGUUCAUACGUAAUCGAACCGAAUUUGUAUAGUUCGGUUCACCCCUUAGUACCGAACCGUACCAUACCAAAAAAAAUUUCUUGAGUUUGGUUUUGAUACAUCCCUCAUACUGUACCAUACCAAAUCGUGGCCAGACCUACUGAAUACAAAACUUAUAUCUGGGUCGUAAGUCGUAAGGCCUCCAAAAAAAAAGUUCAUAUUAUUCAUACCAAUCGGACAAAUCCCGCACCCAAAAACAAUGGCUAGAUAGAAAGUUCAAUUAUAGAUUAGGUAAUCUAUCCUUUUCAACUUAAAUGCACAUUCAUGAUGGUUAUGCAAAUCAUAUUAUGUUAACAAAUGCAACAAUUAAUUAUAUUUAUCCAUUUGGAAUGAUAUAUAUUUUCAAAGAUGGAAUUACAGACCCCGUUGACGUUGAGGCCAUUGCAUGAGAGAAUUUUAGAUGAUUUUCAAUUAAUUUAUAUUAUUGUUGUGAUAACCAUAAUAAUUAUUUUCUAAAUGUAAAACUAUAUUAAUGAAAUUUUCUUUGUCGGUCAAAAGAAGAUGAAAAGAUAUCUUUAUCUUCUAUCACAACAAAAAAAUUAAGGAUAUUAAUGUAAUAGGCUAAUAGCGAUGGGGUGAAGAAAUGGAACUAUCCUAAAUAGGCAGUUGCUGGUUAUAUUGGAUCAGGUGGUCUGAAUGAUUGGAUAAUUAGCAAAUAAAAAGGUUCCAUUUUUCAUGGACCCUCAAGUGGAAAUAUGGGAUAAAAGAUGGCAUAUACCAUUUUAUCCAUUUGUGAUUGUACAUUUUGAUGGUUGUGAUUUCACCCGAUGGCGCGGCAAGUGUGGAUUGGGAUAAGGAUGGUUUUGGUCUAUCAUCAAAGAUGGUUUGAUGUUCACGACUGGAUUUUACAACGCAUCCAAGUGCAUGGGUUCUAUAAAUACAGAGUUGCGCACAAUAAAAAAGUACAAAGGACCUUCAAACCUUUCACACACUCUGAGAAACUCCUGAUUCUCCCAACUUCGUCAACACAUCUUCAAUUUGGAUUAACAUCACUGUUUGUCAGUGAGGAGUCCUUAGUCUUCUCGUCUCAUUAGCCCUCUAGGUGAAGUGAGGUGUUACUGAAUUACUUGAGUAUUCAGCACAUUGAAAGUCGAACCUUAUUUGAACUUCACAGUAGUUAGCAAUCUUAUCUUCAGGUUUUAGAACCCAAUGCCAAGACAUAUUCCUUCCUCGACAGUGAUGGUUUGUACACAAAAGUUGGUUUGUACACAUAAGUCAGUAUUGUGUUUGACACACCAUCCCAUUCAUUCUACUAGCCCACAAACGCGUGGACUCGUCCAAAAUUACCCCACUCUCGGCCCGUUCACUUGCCCACUCGUCCCACGCGGCCCGUGAGUCUUCAGUGCCUGAUAGGGGGGCCUACUGUUAGGGCCGUUGUUGGCCACAACCCAGAGCCCAACGAUUUUUUUUUGCAUCCCACGACUGGCAUUUUUGGACCGUUGGUUGAUCCAACGGUCCAGAUUCAAAUUUUGUUUUUUUAAAUGUUAUUUUAAAAUACAUUGAAUCCAACGGCUGAGAUCGAAUAUAAUCAAAUCUAACGGUAAAAUAAAAAAAGAUAAAAAAAGAUAUAACAGUCCAAAUUUAAAUCCAACAGCUAAAAUAAUUUUAAAAAAAAUUAUUUAACUCAAAAUUCACCCAAAAACUCUAUAAAUACCUUUGUAUUUGUUCAAACAUCCACACAAAACUCAAUUUUCUCCCACAAUUCUUCCAUUUUUUCUUUCUACCAUUUCUUUCCAUUUCCAAAUUGUUCAACACGAUCCUUGAAUUGGCCAUCCCAAGCAGUAAGACAAUUCUUCCACUCCCAAAGCAUACAAUCGAGACUUCCUAUCAUGUCAGGAAAGCCUAUUUUGUCUGCUUUGAGUAGAAUGUGACGACAUGUCCCGAAUUAUUAUAUAUUUUUCUCCCUAAGUGUGUAAAGUGACGGUAAUGCCCUCGUGAUUUAGUGACGUGGAUGUACAUAUGUAGUUUUAAAUUAUUAUUUCUAUUGUCGUAGUUAAAUUGUACUCGACGCCAUGAGUGUGUUGAUGUGACCUAGGGCUAAAACAAAUUCGUAACGAAGAAGUUACGAACAGACGAGUGUGUAAAUGCGUAGAAAUAUAUUUUUAUGGGUUGGCUAUACCUUACCCACCAAUCACCUUAAUUCCUGAUUUCUUUGGCCUAAUUGAAUUAAAAAUAUCUCUCAUUUUUCCUUCUGCCCAAUCACGCACAUACACACCAUCACUCUCUCUCUUCUCUCGGACCUUCUUCUUCUUUCUUCUCAUUCCGUACACCCGAGCCACCCUUACCUCACAAUCAUCAUCAAAACAUUAUGGAUCGAAUUGGAAAUCACUACCAUCGCAGUCACCUCGAUCCCACGAACUCAUUGAUACCCUUAGGUCGAGGAAUAGACGUCGGGAAUUCGAGAACUCGGGAGCUCUGGCGAGGUGUAUUUUUCUACUUUGUGAUCGUGGUCUUUUUCUAUGGUUUAAAGGCUUGAGGUGGGUCCUAAUCAACUUUAUAGGGACCCUAGAUUAGUUUUGGAGCAGUUUGAACGUUGGAAUAGGUGAGAACAUGGAGUUGCAGGUUGGCCGGUUGAUCCAAGCCUUACUCCGACCACUUUCUGUCGGUUUUAGAACCUCAAGUAGGUAAGAUUGUAUUCUUCUAGUUGAGAGUUUCAAAUCCAUAUAAAAUUCAUGGAAUUUGGUUGAAAAAUGAUGAAGAUAUUAAAGUUUUAAGAUUUUUCCAAAAAUCAGCGACACAAACGGCGCCCGACGGCCAGCGAUGGAUUCCGACAAAGCCAUCGGAGAAGGAGGAGAAUAUUAUGUCUAACUUUGACAGAAUAUACUAACAGCGUCAGGUAACUCUAUUAGUUUUUAAACAAAAUAUUCUACUAUUUAAUGAAAUAUUCCCUAACGCCGUUAGGGAUUCCGUGCCUGCACGUGCCGGCUUAUGAGGGCGCGUGAGACGUCAGGAAAUUAAUCUAAAAAUAUUGGGGUGUUCGAGUUGUUGAGUAGGUCAUGUUGGUAUAUUCAAACACCCUAUUUGAGCAACGUAUGAGAAGUUAUUCCUAGGGUUUGUGUAUGUGCCUUAAAAUUAAUGUAAAAUUAGUUAUUUCGCAUAUAGGUGAGACUUACCCGGAGGACAAACGUGGUCAAACGAGACUUGGGGGCUACGAUCCUACUACUUACCAGUGAGCGGGCUUUUUUUUUCUAUAUAUAUGUAAAUAUGCUUAUGAAUCCCAUAAACUACUUUAAAUGAACGUAUGUUUUAAAUGCCAUGUCGUGUGCAUUAUGUGUUAGUAUUGCAUUAGUAUAGCUAUGCAUAGUAUUGGAUGAGACUGCGCAGACUCAGGUAAGUUUCAGGUGAGUACAUCAUGAUGGUAUUGGGUGCGUGUGUGUGGUUAUACGUUGAUGCAUUUUGAGCUUAUUAUCCUGCACAUUGGUGUUAGUGUUCUCGCCCAUGGCCAGGGCAUAGUUUUUCACAUGAUGUUCACCUCCUGGGCCGCACGCUCACUUUGGAUCCAAGUUUGGUGCACAGCCAUAUUGCACAGACCACAAUAGGUGGUUCCGACUCGUAGGUGACCUGCAAUUAUUUGCACAGCCUUCACGUGAUCGUAGCACUUAAGCGUACUUAUCUACACCCAGCCCUGUUGUACAGACCACAAUAGGUGGUUCCGACUUAUGUGCAUGCAUACUUGAUGAGCUAUAGAUUCAAUUGUACAGGUUACAUUAGGUGACUCCGGUUGGCAUACUAUUUUAGGUUGAUUCGUAUCACCUGGCUUACACAUUUUAUGGUUGAACAUCUUGACAUGGCAUACCUCUGUUUUCACUGCUCUAAGCAUUAUCCUUAUGUACCUAGUUGUUAUUAUUUUCUGGAAAAUUAUAUGGGUUUACAGUGAGGGGUUAGUAUGUUCAUAAAGACAACUGUGUUUUCAAAAACUUUGUUUUUGCCUACUCACAUUUUUUGUUUUGCACCCUUUCAGGUUCUAGGUAGUUGGUCAUCCUUGGUGGCUCACGAGGACUUUCACGGCGGUUCUGACAUCUCUGUAAAUAAGUAGGGAUUUUUUUCCCUGUUUGUAUAAUUAGUACUUAGUUGGUUCGAUUGCACUUUCGUUUACCCAUGCUCUGAUAUUUGUAUAACUUGCUUGGUCAUCUUUACUCACUUAUAUUAUCUUAGUUUAGAUAAGUUUGGUUUUAGGUUUUUAUUUAUUCGCAUUUCUUUUAUUAUUACUUCUGUUGCGCAUUUUGGCUACGUUACUCUUACGUGACGGGCAUCAUGUUUCGACUUCGGUUGGGGUGUGUCAUAAAAGCCUCUUCAAGUCUUCAUGAUUUGGCUUGCAGAGAUAUGUGGCUCCAUAUGUGGCCUGAAUUGCCCCACAGAAGCGCUCCAGGUUUUUAAUAGCAGUAGUCUCCGCAAGUCGGCAAUACUCAUCAGUUGAGUUUGCAGAGCACUCAUUAGCUAGCAUCCGAAAUGCAGAUGUGAGCUUCUGAUGAGGUGAUAGACUUUGUCGGCCUACGACAUUUAUCUUCCUUGCAAAGUAGUGGUCAUGAUUGACAACUGUGUUCAAGAUGCUUUCAAAAAUCUCUCUCCUCAUUCGAAACCGUCUCCGAAAAUCAUGAGCAGGAAAUCUCGGACGCUCAAUAAAAUAAUAUUUCAUCAUUCGGUCAUGACACUCUUCUCUAUCACGUUGCACAAAUGAACGCUUCGUGACAUAACCACAAUAGCUAGAUUCGACAUGGUGCUCAUAUUGCAUAAGCGAGUUUGGAAGUUUAGCUUAUGCGUUGAUCAUUUUUGAAUCCUCAAUGUCAAGGCUUGCUUGGUAUUAUGUCAUUUGCAUUGCCCUGCUACACCUUCUUCUAUCAUCCAUUGUUGAUAUAUUGAGGAUUUUUAUGAAACAAAAACACUUUGAAAGUUGAAAGAUUAGUGAAUAUAGGGAAUGAUUGAAGGUUGAAAGAUUGUGUGACCAACUGAUAUUGAACAUGUGUUUAUAUAGAGGAUGAUUGAUGAAAGUUGAAAGUUUGGUGAAAGUUGAACGGUUGGUGAAAGUUGAAGAUUUGUGAAAGUUAAAGACUUGCUUUGUGGAAAGAUUUAGUGAUUUUUUCAAUAUUUAUUGGAAUUUAAAUAUUUUUAUAUUAAAAUGUUCAUAAAAUUAAUUUACCAUAGGCUACAUAAUUUUUUUUAAAAGUUAAUUUAAGAAAAAAAAUUAGCCUAAGUUCAUUCUUUAAUAAUCCCGAACUAAAAUUUUAGGCUAGGGUUGGAGCAGAAAAACUGUUUCUGUGUUAAAAGCUAAAUUUUUUAGAUUAAAAAUUUUAAAUUUUAACCCAAAGGUUGGAGAUGAUUUAAGAAUGGAUAAACUUAACCAAGAAAAGAAGAAAAAAGAUGAAGGGCAAAUAAGUGAGAAGCAACAUGACACGACACACGGACGACCAUAGCAAUAAAGCGUGCGUCCUCACGUCCAUUGAAUAUAUAGAUGGGAGCUACAACAUCGUGUUUCACGUGCAUGUGUAUUAUACAUAAAGGCAUAUACAGUGUUAGCUUAUAUAUUAUAAAGUUUGUAGGCCACUUACCCAAUUUGGCAUAUGUUUUAUCUUUUUACGUGAAUAACCAAUGUGUUAUGAUGAUACAAGUCUCUUAACAUAUCCGGAGUUAGAAAUAUCAUAAGACAGUGUUGCGAUCAUAUUGAAAUUAAUUGACAGUUUGUAUUAUAUAUUUGAUUAUUCUUUAUUAACUUAAGGAGACAGCAUACUUAGACCUAAUUUAGUCACAUUCUCCAACCGAAAAUAAAGCGGUGUAGUAUUCAUACACUUUUUUUUAUUUCUUACACAGUCUUAAUUAAUUUCUAUUGUUUGAUCUUCUUCAAUUCAUUCGAUCUGACGACCGAAAAUUAAGAUGGUGUGUGGACGAGUAAAUUAUAACAAUGGUCCCUCAACUUUAAUCAAAUUGGAGCAAGGGUGCUCAACUAAAAAUCCAUUACCAUUGGUUCCUCAACUCAUCAAAAUGUGUAGCUAUGGUCAUUUUCGUCAACUUCGUUACAAUUUUGUCAAAAUAAGUUAUAUUGGAAUGACUAUUGCUACAAUUGGGGUCCCUCAACUCAUCAAAACGUGUAGCUAUGGUCAUUUUCAUCAAUUUCGUUAGAAUUUUAUCAAAAUGAGUUUUGUUGGAAUGACCAUUGCUACAAUUGAAUUAAAGUUGAGGGACUAUUAUUUCAAUUGAGUUAAAGUUGAAAGAUCAUUUCUUCAGUUGUAUUAAAGUUGAAGGAUCAAUGGUAAUGAAUUUUUAGUUGAGGGGACUAUAGCUGCACGUUUUAAUGAGUUGAGAGAACAAUAAUAAUGAAUUUUUAGUUGAAAAACUAUUACUUCAAUUGAGUUAAAAUUAAGAAACAAUUGCUACAAUUUUUUUAUAUGGAAAGUGGAUGAUGUGAAUAGCACAUCCAAAAAUAAAAGGGAACUUUAACGAAAAGCACCCGGUACUGUUCACUUUAACGAAAAACCACAUUUUUACACUAAAAAGUCAAUCCUGGUACUAUUCACUUUACCCUUUAUUUUGUCCUUAUCAUUAAAACUCAAAGUUUUCAAGCCCUUUUCAUUAGUUUUCCUAAAAUAAAAUGCACCACAAUUUGGUAGGAUCUUCCUGUUGAGAGUAAUAAAUUAAUAAUUGCCGAAAUAUUGGAUAAUUUGUCGGCCACAACGCUAUGAGGGAGUAUCUGGGGAUGAAUAUACUCUUGCCGACAGAUGCCCAAAUUCCAACUGCCAUUCAAAUGAGCCCUCCACCACCACCGGCCAUAAUAAAUUCUCUUUCUUUAGUGAAGAAGAAAAAGAGGUACUUGGCCCUCACCUCAACUUUUUGAGAAAGAACAAGUUUAUCGCUAUCAGAAUGUUUCGGUCAAUUAUAUAAGUUAUGUGUAAAUUUUUCUUUAGAUAACAUUACAUUAUUAUAUUUAAAAUGUUCCGUAACGAUAAAUUUGUUUCAUACAAAUUAUUCUCCAACUUCUUGGAUUUUUCUCCUUUUUCCCGAAAACCAGCUUAUAUUAGUGUUCAUCCUCUGUCAAUAUCACUCGCCCACAACUAUUCAACUAACUUUUAAUAAUUUGACAACGUGUCAUAUUUUUGUGCAAAGCGGGCCCAUUUUUGUGGGUGAUAUAAUAAUGGCGUAUGUGGUUUGUCAAGACAUAUACUCAUUUAUCCAUUAGCAGUUAGGUAAGUCACCUCACUCACCCACAGCCUAACACAUCAACAAAUAUUGCUUACAAAUUCUAGAAAAUUCGACCAAGAAAAAAAACCAAAUGCUCGCAAAUUAAAAUUGUGUAACAUGAUUAGUUUUUUAUCCAUUAGUAUUAAUUUUACGUUGGAAGAAAUUCCAAAUUUAUUCUUGUAAAGAGGGAUAUGAAAAUACUUUGUAUGUCUAUCACCAAAAUCUUCGAAUGUUUGAAUGGUUGAUUUUCAAGUCUCACACAAUUGGAUUUAGUUCAAGUGAGAAAGAAAUACACUCAAACUAUUAGAUAUGAGGAAUGAAAAUACACUACAAAAUCUUGUGAACAUUUCUAAUAUUCUCUUCUAUCUACUUUUUGUGAACCAAGUUUUUAUUUGUUUUUUUUUUUAACAAAAGAUAUUUUUUAUACUAGGGAAAUAAGGUGGGUUUAGCCUCAUAAUGGGCUAACAUAAUCUAGUUCAAACUUGCAUUUGGUGAGAAUCGAACCUAAAAUCUCUCACUUACAAGUGAAGAGGAAUACCAUUAGAAGUGUCAUGAAAUUAGCAGUCUUAUAUGUAAAAAAUUGAUUGACUAAAUGCUGUGUUAAAAAACAAGAUUAAUACUUGCAUCUCCCCACUUGGAAAAUGCAAAUAUUUCAUUUCUUGCAAAUAACGUAUAUCAUGCGUUCUGUUCAAUCGCAUAUUCAAAAAUGUUAAAAACAAGAUUAAUAUUUCUAUCUCCCCACUUGGAAAAUGCAGUAUUUCAUUUUUUACGAAUAACGUAUAUCCUGUGUUCCGUCCAAUCGCGUAUUAAAAAAAUGUGUGAAGUUUGGAUUAACUACACUCUUUGAGAAUUUCCUUAAAUAACCACUUUUUGAAAAUUUCUUAUAGGACUAAGUGAGUCUCCGCUGAGAAUUUCCUUAACUAACACAACACUACUUGAGUGAUAAUUUGUUAUAUCUUGAAUAGAGAAUAAAUCAGUUCCCUACUUUUGAAGGUACUAUUAACUUACACUAUAUUUGAAUGAGAACAAUAAACUUAGAAUUUAGAUGAAGGAAAUAAAACAGUUUCCUACUUUUGAAGGUACUACUCGAGUGAUAAUUUGUUAUAUCUUGAUAACGUGUCAUAUUUUUUUGCUAAGCGGACCCAUUUUUGUGGGGUGGUAUAAUAAUGGCGUUUGUUGUUUGUCAAGGGCAUAUACCCAUUUAUCCAUUAGCAGUUAGGUCACCUCACUCACCCACAACCUAGUACAUCAACAAAUAUUGCUUACAAAUUCUAGAAAAUUCAACCAAGAGAAAGAAAACCAAAUGCUCGCAAAUUAAUCUGUGUAACAUUAGUUUUUAUCCAUUAGUAUUUAUUUUACAUUGGAAGAAAUUCCAAAUUUAAUCUCGUAAAGAGGGAUAUGAAAAUACUUUGUAUAUCUAUUAUCAAAAUCUUUGAAUGUUUGAAUGAUUGAUCAUCAAGUCUCACACGAUUGAAUUUAGUUCAAGUGAGGAAGAAAUACACACAAACUAUUAUAUAUGAGGAUUGAAAAAUACACUACAAAAUCUUGUGAUAACAUUUCUAAUAUUCCUUUCUAUCUACAUUUUGUGAUAAGUUUUUUUUUUCCUUUUUUGAACAAACUAUAUUUAUCUACAUUAAGGGAGAGGAGGUGAUCUUAGCCUCACAAUGGGCUAGCAUAAUGUGGUUCAAAUUCGCCUUUGGCGAUAAUCGAACCUAAAACUUAUCAUUUACAAGUAAAUAGGAAUACCACUAGAUGGAUCAUGAAAUUAGCAGUCUUAUAGGUAAAAAAAAAUUGAUCGACUAAAUGAUGUGUUAAAAAACAAGAUUAAUACUUGCAUCUCUCCACUUGAAAAAUGUAGAUAUUUCUGUGAACACGGAAAAUUCCUGAAACGAAAGAGACAAGAACAACGUGCACAAAAUAAUAUUUUGGUGUUAAUGGAUUUGUUGGGUUACGAUCUCUUUUAACUUGAUCCUCUGAUUCGAUCUCCGUAAGGUGUUGAUUUAUGGAUGUUUCGUUGAUCCAAGGGCUGUUGAGGCUUGAUCUUAGAUGAACUGUUGGAAGUUUCUUCAAGGGGCCGUGGGCUUGAUCUUUGAAGGUGGAUUUGAGCGGAUCUUCAAGGAGCCGUUGGGGCUUGAUCUUGAGGAUGAGUGUUUCUUCAAGGGCCGUUAAGGCUUGAUCUUGAAUAACGGUGAUGAACGGAUCUUCAAGGGCUUUUGGGCUUGAUCUUGAAGAACGGUUGGAUGUGUGGAUUUGUUGAUGUUGUUGAUCCAAGGGCCGUCGGAGCUUGAUCUUGGAAGAACGAUGAACGAAGAACGAAGAACACUUUCUUCAAAGGCCGUCGGGGCUUGAUCUUGAAUUGGUGAUUGUUGAUCCAAGGGCCGUCGGGGCUUGAUCUUGGAAGAACGAUGAACGAAGAACGAAGAACACUUUCUUCAAGGGCUGUCGGGGCUUGAUCUUGAAUUGGUGAUUGUUAAUCCAAGGGCCGUCGGGGCUUGAUCUUGAUUCUUCGGGAUGAACGGAUGAUGAACAAUGAACACUUUCUUCAAGGGCCGUCGGGGCUUGAUCUUGAAUUGGUGGAAGUUCUUCAAGGGCCUUUGGGGCUUGAUCUUGAAGGUGGAUGAUUGUUGAUCCAAGGGCCGUCGGGGCUUGAUCUUGGGAUGAACAGUUGUGUGGAUUUGUUGAACACUUUCUUCAAGGGCCGUCGAUGCUUGAUCUUGAAUUGGUGGAAGUUCUUCAAGGGCCGUUGGGGCUUGAUCUUGAAGGAGGAUUUGACGAAGAACGAAGAGGGCUUUCUUGAUCCUUCGGGAUUUGCUUGAAUUUGGGAGGUUGGAUGCUUGAAAGCUUUAGAGUUUCAAAGCUUCAAGGAUUUUGGAUGUGUGGGGAGUAUUCUCUUCCAUUUUGGGAGUAGAGAAAUGUAUUUGUGAAUUGGUUUUUGAUACCUUGAUGUAGAAGCCUAUUUAUAGGCUUUGAGAAUGAAUCACCACCACAAAAUAUUUUUUUUCUUUUCCAAGCACCAUUGCCUAAUUUCCCACUUAAUACAAUUUUAAACUUGAAGUGGUAAUUUUAUGGCCUAAUUUUCCACUUAAUAUCAUUUUAAACUUGAUAUGUGCAUGCUUUGUCAUUGCCCAAAAUGAGAAGAAAACCUUGUUUUGAUCUUCAAUGAAUUGAAAUGUGCUUGCCUUGUCAUUGCCCAAAAUGAGAAGAAAAACUUGUGUAAUCCUUCAAGGGUAUUUCUUUUUAUUUUGUUGAGUCGCACACCAUGUGUACAAUUUGUAUGACACGUGGCAUAUGCCAUGUACGCCUUGACACGUCAAAAUUUUAAUGCGUUGGUGAACAUUUAUUUCACCGCAAUUUCGGUGUCUACAAAUGCCCCCACUUCAAGGUGCGUCGUAUACAUGUGCUUGUCACGUGUAGGAGAUGCGUUUUGAAGUCCCUUACUGUAGAUGUCAAUCCAAUGGCCAUCGAGGCUUGAUCUUGAAUUGGGCUGGAGAUUUCUUCAAGGGCCGUUGAGGCUUGUUCUUGGACUUUGUUUGAAAUUUCUUCAAGGGCCAUCGAGGCUUGAUCUUGAAGGUUGAAAUUGGACCACAAGGAGCUUCAUGUGGUAGAUGAUCUUUGGCUUUGGUAGUGGAUGAAUCGGCACGUAUUUGUUUUUGCGCUUUGUUGACUUUCCACAGCUUUGAUCUUGAACUGGGUUGGAGGAUUUUUUGGAUUCCUCCAAUUGUUGAUUUUCCACAGUUUAUUCUUGAACUGGAUUUGAUUCAAAUAUGGUGGACGCUUGAUCUUGAAUCGGACUUGUGAUUUCCUCAAGGGCCGUCGAGGCUUGAUCUUGAAUUUGGCCGGAAACUUCUUCAAGGGCCGUUGAGGCUUGAUUCUUGAAGGUUGACUCGAACACAUGGCAAGCAGGCACGAGGUGAAGGUGACGACUUGUUGCUUUGUUCAAUCUUUCUAAUUCACACCUGAGCAGUUUGGUCAACGGUAUGAUCUUCAAGAUUGAUGGGCUCUUCUUCCAGUUGGUGAUUUGAUCUUUAAGGAUUUGAUUCAAGGGUGGUGAAACGGCACAUGCAGCCCACAACGCCUAGCAAGUCGACCCAAGAAUUUGAGGGUUAAAACGAGUCCUCCACCCAGAGUGAUUGCAAACCUGAUGAUAUGAGAUACUUUUGAUUUUGAAGAAGUAGCGGAUGAAUCGGCACGUGCUUUGUUGUGCUUGUCUCCACAUGCUUCAAUGUAUCAUUUUCCCUUGUCUUAUCUAUUCUUCUAGCAGAAUGUAGCAUCUUCUUAAGUUCUUCAACUCAGACUCCUUCUGCUGAGCUGACUGUGCAGGCUGCAUUAUUCUCUGCUUGUUUCUUUAGGCAGAUGUGGCAGCUUCUUGAGUUCCUCAGCUCGGACUCCUUCUGCUGAGCUGAUUGUGAAGACUGCAUUCUUAUCUGCUUGUUUCUUCUGUACGUUGUCUCCACAUGCUGCAAGGUAUCAUUUUCAAUUGCCUUAUUUGUUUUCCAGGCAAAUGUGGCAUCCGAGUUUGAGUGGAGGUUCUGGCAUAUUGUUUUCUUUAUCCUUGUCUUUGUAGGUAAGAACAAGGACAAAGGAAAGGACAGGGAGAACGCAUGAUAUGAUAUACUCUUGCUUUCUACCCUGGUGAUAUGAGAUACUUUUGCUUUGGUGUCAUUUGUUUGCAGAGGUACCCCAAGGAAUAAGAAACACUGAGUGACUCGAGAGGCUUUGUUGGGAAGGCAUUCUAGGAGAUGAAGAAAGGUUCUUGGAGAUGAAGAAAGGUUCUCGGAGAUGAAGAAAGGUUAUGUAUGUCUGCCUUGCUAUGGAGGGUAAAGGUGGACAGUUAUAGGAAAUUCUUUAGUACCUGUAGAGGUACUAUUCUUUUACUCGUGUCGGCAACCAAUGUGUGAUUGAUCAGUAUGGCUUCACGUGUUUUCUUCUUUAUCAGAAAUCUUCGACAAAUUGUCCGUAAUUUUCGUCAAGCUGAGUGUGCAUGUGACAGGUGUUGACGAGGCUGAAAAAGACUGGUGCCUCUUCGAUAUCUGGGAUCGGCGCUUCGACAAAUUGCCCGUGAUUUCCGCAAAGCUGAGUUUGCGCGUGACGGGUGCUGACGAGGCUGAAAAAGACUGGCGCCUCUUCGAUAUCUGGGAUUGGCGCUUUAACAAAUUGCCCAUGAUUUCUGCAAAGCUGAGUUUGCACGUGACGGGUGCUAACGCGUCUGGAAAAGCAAGAUGCUUCUCCGAUUUCUGAGCUUGCCUCUUUGAUUUUUGAAUUGGCCUCUUCGAAUUCUGAGCUCGCCUCUUCGAUCUUUGAAAUCCCAUCGAGUGUUGAUCUUUAUAGAGGCACGCAGUUCGUUUCAAAGCACACUUGAAUUUUCGCUUGUAGAAACUCCCUUCUUGCACUUCUAAGAUCUUGAUUUGUCCGACCUCUUCUUUCUUCAACACCUUUGAAAAUGUCUGGACCCUCCGACCGUCAUUUUGAUUUGAACCUUGGUGAAGAGGUAGUCCCGUCUUCUCCAGAUAACAUAUGACGCCCAUCUUUCAUAUCCCCUACUGGUCCUCUUACCGUUGGGGAUUCGGUGGUGAAGAAUGAUAUGACCGCUGCGGUGGUGGCCCGAAACCUUGUCACUCCCAGAGAUAACAGACUACUUUCCAAACGGUCUGAUGAGUUGGCUGUUAAGGAUUCUCUGGCUCUCAGUGUGCAGUGUGCAGGUUCUGUGUCUAAUAUGGCCCAACGCCUAUUUGCUCGAACCCGUCAAGUUGAAUCAUUGGCGGCUGAAGUGAUGAGUCUCAAACAGGAGAUAUUAGAGGGCUCAAGCAGAGAGAUAAACAGUUGCAUAAGCUCGCACAUAGCUAUGCGACAAACAUGAAGAGGAAGAUUAACCAGAUGCAGGAAUCUGAUGGUCAGAUUUUACUUGAUCAUCAGAGGUUUGUGGGUUUGUUCCAGCAGCAUUUGCCUUCGUCUUCUGGGGCUGUACCGCGUAAUGAAGCUCCAAAUGAUCAACCCUUGGCUCCUCUUCUUCCUGGAGUUCCGCCGAGUGGUGUGGCUUCAAACAGUCAACCUCCGACGCCUCUCAUUUCUGGAGCUCUGCUGAGUGGUGAGGUGGCACCUAAUCGUCCUUGAAGAUCCCCUCUUGUAAAUUUGAUUUGAUUUUUUUUUAAGUAUGUAUAAUGCAAAUUUAUGUAAAAUUUCCAGAAAAAAUAAAUAAAAACGGACUUUAUUUCUCUCAAUGCAUUUGUUUUGUUUUGUUUUUGUUUUUUUUGUUUUUUUGUUUUUGUUUUUUUUGUAAAUACAUAAUAACAUAUGUAUUUAUUUAUUUAUUCUUUUGUAAUAAAAUUGACUUUCUUUAAUAAAACUUUUAUAUUUUUCUUAUUUAUUUUGAUAUGACUGAACUCGAAAUUGAAUGUUCGAGCCGCCUACGUACCCUUCCAAAGAAGAGAUCAAGCCAUAACGUAGUUCAAAUGAGUGAUGAAUUUAAUAGUGAUUUUGAUGAUGAUUUUGCCGUACACAGUUUAUGCUCUUGUGGGCCAGGAGCUUUGGUGUUGCCUUUUAUGCUCGUGCAGACCAGGAGCGUUGAUGUCGCCUUUUAUGCUCGUGUGGGUCAGGAGCGUUGAUGUUGCCUUUUAUGCUCGUGCAGACCAGGAGCUUUGUGCCAUGCAGUUUAGACUCGUGCGGGCAAGGAGCUUUGGUUCGUGCAGUUUAGGCUCAUGCGAACAAGGAGCAUUGGUUCGUGCAGUUUAGGCUCGUGCGAACAAGGAGCAUUGGUGUUGCCUUUUAUGCUCGUGCAGACCAGGAGCUUUGUGCUAUGCAGUUUAGACUCGUGCGGGUGAGGAGAAUUUGUGAAUUUUGUCAAGCACUUUUGGAGAGGCGUUCCUUACAAUCUUCAUAGCAAGGAGCCUUGACCGAGUGAUUGAAGAAGUCUUCGGGAAAGAAGUCGCACAUCGUGAUGGCAACAGACGAUCUUUGUGUCGUAAUUUCAUCAUCUUCAACACGUUCACGUUGCUUUGAAGGUUGACAAGAGCUGCUUUGCCCCCUUUCCGAUUGGCGGACUUGUGGAGGAGACGUAUGCUUCUUGUGCCAUUUCUUAGGAGUGACUUGAGUCCAUCCUUCAAGUUUGCUUGUUUUGGAGGAUGCCCCCGGCGGUUGAGGUGAAAAUUUUGUGUUGAAAGAGCCAGAAGUGAUGGUGGUAUAGUUUGACUUCACCACAUCGUCAAGAUCUAGCUCGAUGAUUCCUUUCUGAGCCCACUUUAUGAUGAGAUCUUUCAGCACAAAGCACUUUUCUGUCGGAUGACUGAUGAAGCGGUGGAAUUUACAGUAUCUUGGACUGUUGGUACGAUUCAUCUCUUCCGGCCAUCUGCACUCAGGCAAACUGAUCACCUUCUUGUCCAACAGGUCAUCCAACAUGGCAACCACAUCAGAGUCAGGGAAUGGAUAAGUCUUCUCUUUAAGCUCCUUCAAAGUGCGUCUACGCAUCUCUUGAUCACGAAAAGCUUCGGUUUGAAUCGUUUUGCCUCGUGUGGAGAUUUUGACGGGAGAUGUGUUGACUGUCAUUGCUUCCUUGGUGGAUUUCCACGUAGCCUUCUCCACCUUUGUCUCAAGAAUUUUGUCGUUCUUGUAGUCGGCGAUCGGUUCCUUCUUCCCAUGAUGGGUGAUGCUCAACUCCAUGUCAUGGGCGUGGGUGGCCAAUUCCUCGAAGGUCCGUGGUUUAAUGCCUUGAAGGAUGUAUUGCAAACCUCAUUGCAUGCCUUGGAUGCACAUCUCGAUUGAAGAGGUCUCCGAGAGCCUAUCUUUGCAGUCGAGGCUUAGAGUGCGCCAUCUGUUGAUGUAGUCAAUGACCGGCUCAUCUUUCCAUUGCUUCAUACUUGUGAGCUCCAACAUGCUUACAGUGCGGCGGGUGUUGUAGAAGCGGUUGAGGAAUUCCCGCUCCAAUUGCUCCCAGCUGUUGAUGGACUCAGGCUCUAGGUCCGUGUACCACUCAAAUGCGUUUCUUUUCAGCGAGCGCAUAAACUGCUUGGCGAAGUAGUCCCCCUCCGUCCCCGCGUUGUUGCAAGUUUUGACGAAAUGUGCAACGUGCUGCUUUGGGUUUCCUUUUCCAUCAAACUGCAUGAACUUUGGUGGUUGAUAUCCCAUCGGCAUCUUUAGGGCAUCAAUCUUCUUUGAAUAAGGCUUUGAGUACAACCCGGAGGUAUUUGAGCUCCCUUCGUACUAUGCCUUGACGGUGCUGGCAAUCAUCUCUUGCAACUGUUGGAUAGAAAGAGAUCCCAUGAGUGCCGCUUCUUGGUCUGGCUCCGGCUUCACAUCGAUUUUCUCCACCGUAGGCUCAUCUUCUGGGUUAGGGUUCUCGCUGUCCUGUGGCUCCAGUUGACUGAUGAGUGCAGCGAUUUGCAAGUCUUUUUCUUCCACAGUUCGGGUUAGCCUUGCGAUUGCUUCAUUCAUUUGAGCCAGUUGUUCUUCGAUGGAGGUAACGCCGAUGGUCAUGACUUGUGCAACCAAUAGACGUGACUUUCCUUUAGACAUCCAAGAUGCUGAAGAAGAACGUCAUUGGUUGUUUUGGGAUGUCAUCUUGUGUGCCUCAGCAACAUGCUUUGGUGCCCCCAGCGAGGUCAGGUUGAUGACAGACUCACACCUUUGAUGCUCCCUUUGCUCUUUUAGCGGCACCAACUUUGAAGUGGCAUGUUAAGGAGCGGUUGUGGUGCUAAUGGAUUGUCCAUUUGCGGCAGAAGUGCUUAGGAUCCUUCCCUCAGUGAUUGCGAGAACGGCUUGUCCCUUGCUUGAUGCCAUUGAUUUUGAGGUGUGUUUGGAUUCCUUAAACGGAGAAAGAUAUGAGAGGUAGAGAUUGUCCCACCGGGCGUGCCAAUUUGUGAACACGAAAAUUUCCUGAAACGAAAGAGACAAGAACAACGUGCACAAAAUAAUAUUUUGGUGUUAAUGGAUUUGUUGGGUUACGAUCUCUUUUAACUUGAUCCUCUGAUUCGAUCUCCGUAAGGUGUUGAUUUAUGGAUGUUUCGUUGAUCUAAGGGCCGUCGAGGCUUGAUCUUGGAUGAACUGUUGGAAGUUUCUUCAAGGGGCCGUGGGCUUGAUCUUUGAAGGUGGAUUUGAGCGGAUCUUCAAGGAGCCGUUGGGGCUUGAUCUUGAGGAUGAGUGUUUCUUCAAGGGCCGUUAAGGCUUGAUCUUGAAUAACGGUGAUGAACGGAUCUUCAAGGGCUUUUGGGCUUGAUCUUGAAGAACGGUUGGAUGUGUGGAUUUGUUGAUGUUGUUGAUCCAAGGGCCGUCGGGGCUUGAUCUUGGAAGAACGAUGAACGAAGAACGAAGAACACUUUCUUCAAAGGCCGUCGGGGCUUGAUCUUGAAUUGGUGAUUGUUGAUCCAAGGGCCGUCGGGGCUUGAUCUUGGAAGAACGGUGAACGAAGAAUGAAGAACGAAGAACACUUUCUUCAAGGGCCGUCGGGGCUUGAUCUUGAAUUGGUGAUUGUUAAUCAAAGGGCCGUCGGGGCUUGAUCUUGGAAGAACGAUGAACGAAGAACGAAGAAGGCUUUCUUGAUUCUUCGGGAUGAACGGAUGAUGAACAAUGAACACUUUCUUCAAGGGCCAUCGGGGCUUGAUCUUGAAUUGGUGGAAGUUCUUCAGGGCCUUUGGGGCUUGAUCUUGAAGGUGGAUGAUUGUUGAUCCAAGGGCCGUCGGGGCUUGAUCUUGGGAUGAACAGUUGUGUGGAUUUGUUGAACACUUUCUUCAAGGGCCGUCGAUGCUUGAUCUUGAAUUGGUGGAAGUUCGUCAAGGGCCGUUGGGGCUUGAUCUUGAAGAAGGAUUUGACGAAGAACGAAGAGAGCUUUCUUGAUCCUUCGGAAUUUGCUUGAAUUUGGGAGGUUGGAUGCUUGAAAGCUUUAGAGUUUCAAAGCUUCAAGGAUUUUGGAUGUGUGGGGAGUAUUCUCUUACAUUUUGGGAGUAGAGAAAUGUAUUUGUGAAUUGGUUUUUGAUACCUUGAUGUAGAAGCCUAUUUAUAGGCUUUGAGAAUGAAUCACCACCACAAAAUAUUUUUUUCUUUUCCAAGCACCAUUGCCUAAUUUCCCACUUAAUACAAUUUUAAACUUGAAGUGGUAAUUUUAUGGCCUAAUUUUCCACUUAAUAUCAUUUUAAACUUGAUAUGUGCAUGCUUUGUCAUUGCCCAAAAUGAGAAGAAAACCUUGUUUUGAUCUUCAAUGGAUUGAAAUGUGCUUUGCCUUGUCAUUGCCCAAAAUGAGAAGAAAAACUUGUGUAAUCCUCCAAGGGUAUUUCUUUUUAUUUUGUUGAGUCACACACCAUGUGUACAAUUUGUAUGACACGUGGCAUAUGCCAUAUAUGCCUUGACACGUCAAAAUUUUAAUGCGUUGGUGAACAUUUAUUUCACCGCAAUUUCGAUGUCUACAAUUUCAUUUCUUGUGAAUAAUGUUUAUCCUGUGUUCUGUCCAAUCGCGUAUUAAAAAAUGUGUGAAGUUUGGAUUAACCACACUCUUUUAGAAUUUCCUUUAUUUACCACUUUUUGAGAAUUUCCAAUAAGACUGGGUGAGUCUCCGCUGAGAAUUUCCUCAACUAACACCACACUACUUGAGGGAUAAUUUGUUAUAUCUUUGAAUAAAGAAUAAAACAGUUUCCUACUUUUGAAGGUACUAUUAACUUACACUAUAUUUGGAUGAAGGUCAAACUUUAUAAAUUGACAUACACCAAAUUCUUUGUUUGGAUUCAUAAACAUAUAAAUUUAGAAUUUCCGCGUGGAAAAAAAAAAUACUUAGAAUUUGAGACCUCCAAUUCUCAAAUUGAAAGUUUAAAAAUAAUAAAUUCCGUAUUCAAUUCAAUUGUUCUUUUAGGUUAACCAAAUAAGAAAAUUCACAAAUUCUAAAAUAUAAAAUCUCAUCAUUUCAAUUUCCGUCAUUUUAAAAUUCCUUAGUAAUAUUAAAUUUCUUCAUCCAAACAUAGUGUUAAGAAAUUUUUUAAAGAUACACUAUUUACACUCAUUUUUAUUUCUUACACAUUUAUUAACUUUGUCCAUUGAUUUCUUCAAUUCAUUUUGCCAGUUAUACAAAAAUUGAGAACAGUAUUUAUGAAUUAAAAAUACAUUUGUAGAUGUCACUACCAAAUUUUUAUUCCUAAUUCAAGAAAAUCUUAUCCAUAUAUGAUUGCCCUUGCCCACUUUAAAUGGGUGCCAUCACUUUACGAUAGAGCAAUCCUAACCGUCCACCUAGGUAAGCAUAACUGGCGAUGCAUGUCGCAAGGGGACCGCAUUGCACAAUAUAAUUAUACUAGUUGAUAAGACAAGUGAUGUCAAUCAAUAAAUUAUUUCAUUAAAACUUAGUUGUAUGUAUCAUAUGUUGUAAUGUAGGGUGUAUGAUAUGCUGACGCUGUAAAAAAAUGUAACCUUUUUAAUAUUACUCAUAAUAGUAAGACUUACCAGUAUUAGGAUGUUAUCAGUGGAAUGAGAAUCCUCUCCAGAUCUUUUUUGUGAGCUAUUAUUUGUAUUUAAUUUUAAAUAUAAAAAAUUAAAAUAAUUUAUGACGGCAGUGAUUCACAUGAUCUUCACAAAGAGAAUCCAAAUAAUCUUAAUUUAUAUCAGUGUGUCUAGAUAACAUGAUCGAGCCCCUUUACUUUUACCCUAUUUAGUAUUUUACAUUUGAACCUGUAAAUAUUCGAUUUUUCUUUGGUGCAACCGAGCACCAAAUAUAGAUUUUUUUUCACUUUUAUAUAAUGAUAAAUAAAGGGCAAUUGGCAGAUUUGAAUUCCAUUCGGAUUGGUCAAAAAUCAUUUUAAAUUGUUUUAUUUAAAAUUAAACACAUAUAGUACUUAAUAAAAAUUAGUCGUACAAUAUACGAUAAACAGAUAUAAUGUAAGGACCUUUAUGAUCUUCACAAAAAAGAUCCAAAGGUUGUGUAGCUGUUUCAAAAGGAUAAUACUCACUUUUGAUUAGUUCAAUGAAAUUUUAAACAUGUUUUAUUGUUUUAAAAAAUAAUAAACAUAUUUAUUAAUGUUUGUUUUACUUUAAAAAAUAAGCAGCACUUGACAACAUUUGAUUGUGCUAAAUAAAAAAUGAGUGACCACUUAGUACUACAGUCUUAUGAUAUUUUUCUUCAUUUGAAAGUGAGAGGUUUUAAGUUCGAAUCUCGUGGAUGACGAAUUUGAUAUCAAAUUAGAUUGCUCACUAUGUGGCUUAGCCGAACUCUCAUUUCCUUUAAUGUAAAAAUAUUGAUGUAUUCAAAAAAAUAAAAAGUGACUAUAGAGGACACUCAAUCUCAGCUGUAUGAUUAAAUCAGACGGUAAGAAAAAUUCUGCAAGCAUACUCGGUUACAUUAAUUGAAGAAAAAAUGGGUAAAUAUUGGGCACCAACGUUAUAAAUACCCUCCACCAUGCACCCAACUCCCUCACACCAUCACAACCCACGUUACAAAUCCUCCUCCUCAUCAUAACCAUUCUGUUUUCCGCAUAAUAUCCAAAAACCUAUCAUGUCUGAAGAGAAACACCACCGCGGUCUCUUCCACCACCACAAGGAUGAAGACAAACCCUCAGACUACCCUCAGUCUGGCUACUCUGAUGAAGGACGUCCCGGCGGCCUCGGUGGUGGUUACGGCGACACCAAUGAUUAUUCUGGUGAAGGACGUACCGGCGGCCUAGGUGGUGGCUAUGGCGACACCAAUGCUUAUUCUGGUGAAGGACGUCCCGGCGGCUAUGGCGGCUAUAACGAGACCACUGCUUACUCUGAGGAAAGAGUUGAAAGACCCGGCGGUGGCCGGUACAGUGAGACUACUGCGGCAUAUGGCAGCACCACCACUCAUGAAUCUGAACUUGAUUACAAGAAGGAGGAGAAGCACCACAAGCAUCUCGAGCACCUCGGCGAGGCCGGUGUAGCUGCUGCCGGCGCUUUUGCCUUGGUACGUAUUGUAUUUUAACCCACCUCUAUAUAUAUAUAUAUUAGAAUAAUGCUAAUAAGACCAAAUUUUGAAAACUAAAUGAUGUGGUUGUUGAUAAUGAACUUAUUACUCAAGUCUUGAUUAACAUGCUUAUUUUCUAAUAGUGACACAUUAUUUGGUUUAGAAAUUUGGUCUUCCUAACUUUAUCAUUCUCAAAAUUUUCAUGAUUUUGAUAGGGUAAUACGGGAGAUCAAAAUUUCUAAACCAAAUUUGCAAACCAAUAGAUGAUUGGAUUAUUAAUUAAGUAUCGAUUGUUUGUUUCUUAUUAACGACAUAUCAUUUGAUUUACAAUUUAGUUAAAAAAAAUUUAUUCUUUCUGUCAUAUCCUUUUGAAUAUUUGAUCACUUUACUCUUUAUCACUUUACCCUUGAUCACUUUACCCAUACUCUUGCAACCGAAUCACCGUCCUCCUCCUUAACCUUCAUUUUUUUGUCUUACAGUACUCCAAUCUAUCAACUCUGUCCAUUGCAACUUUAAUUGUGAAGAAAAUUAAAGUCCUAUCGUAAAAUUAAUUAGUGAUAUGGAGAGUUGCGCAAUUAUUGAUGGACUAGGUAGGUAAGAUACGGAAUCAAAGUCUACCAUUAACAAUGGACGGAAUUGAUGAACCAUAUAGGUAUGUAAGAUACGGAAUCAAAGUCCUCAUGUAAAUGGUACAGUUGCAAUCAGGAGAAGAAAUGAGUUAACUGAUACCUUCGUAAUAGUUCAUGUAGAGUUUUGAUAUUAUUAAGCCUUAACCACCUGAUCUUAUAUAUACGAGGACAAAUCUAAUCAAAUAUGUGUUAAUUUCAAGGUUUGUUUUACAUUGAUGUGAGAUCGAUGCUAGCAAGAUAUAUAACUUAUGUCAGUUUCUAUAUGAUGUGUGUAGCAUGAGAAGCACAAUGAAAAGAAAGAC
rnacentral:lncRNA from 1 species